UCUUUGCAUUCAUUAUUUUCGUUGUUGUUAUUCUUUUUGCUACUCUUGUGGAGUGAGAGUUCUUGUAAUUGGGCCUUUGACUUUGAUGAUUUGAUUAUCUUCUACUUGUGUUGUAGUGAACUUUGAGCUUUGCCAUGAGUCUUCUUGAGCUUUGCCAUGAGACUUGUUGAGCUUUGCCAUGAAUCUUCUUGAGCUUUUACAUGAAGGAUGUAGGGGUCAGGUUUUGGAAACAGCGGAUGAAGAUACAGUUAAAGUUUAGGUUUUAUUAUCUUUGCAUUUAUUAUGCUGAUAAAAAAAAUUUUGCAUUCAUUAUUUUCUUUGCUGUUAUUCUUUUUGCUACUCUUGUGGAGUGGGAGUUCUUGUAAUUGGGGCUUUGAUUUUGAUGAUCUGAUUAUCUUUUUAUACUUGUGUUGGAAUGAACACUUACCAUGGAUGUUUGUUACAUAUUGUGAAGCUUCAGGUUUUAUUACUUUUCUACUCACUAUUUUUCUUAUUUGCUCGAUUUGGAAUGUCUACAAUUUCUCUUAUUGGCUGGAUAGUUGGAAGGUAUUUCAUUGUAUGUAUCUUAGCAAGAGUGCUACGUUUAGGUCCUCCAUUAUCUACCGUUAUUGAUUAUAGUUUUCUUGAAUUCAUUGGGCUUACAGGAAAGCUAAGCAAUGAAGUGUGGUGUAGGAUGUAAAAAUGGUGGGUCGAAAUUCUGUGGUGAAGCUAAAUGUUUCUUUCACCAGGACAUUGUUGUGUUCAUCUGAUUUAAUUUUUAGCUGGCUCAACUUGUCGGUUUGAUUAUAAUCUUGGUUGUAACUUGUUGGUUUGAUUAUAAUCUUGGUUGUAUUUUGAUAAUGUAUGUUUCUAAGAGGCAUUGUGGGAUGAGAAUGAGACAAGUGCGGUUGAGCUUUACUCUUUGAUUUGAUGGUUUGCUUUUUGGUUUGAAAAGUUCUACUAUUUAAUUUUGAUGACUUCUCUGCAUAAUUCUAUAAUAUAGGUCUUUUGUUCUUUUAAUAAUUUUCCAAAACCUUUCGAUUCAUUAUUCUUGAUCCCGAACAUAUGGGUUGAGUUGUGAACUUCUUUGGAUUUUUUGCAUGUAACUCUUACGCUGAAAAUUUUGAAAUUAGUAUAAGAAUGAUCCUGAAAUUUUCUUACGUCAAACAAAUCUUGCUAAAGUAAUUUUCUUUGUUAUUCUAUUUCUCUACCCAAUCCAGGUGUUGCAUUAAUCCCUUUUCAGCAUACAGAACUGUGACCGAUCUUAAGUUUGUAUGCAACGACGUUUUUGGAAAUUUUGUGUCACAAACUUAUUAUUAGGACUUAUUACCUUGGUUUUAUCUGAUCAUUUUGGACUUGCUAUCUUCUUUUGUGGGUUUUCGUUUGGUUUCAAUUUUCAGUAAUGUCUGAUAAGUUGGCAGUAUUGGAUUUCCUUGUUUGCAUAUCAGAAACUGAACCAAUCUCAAGGCAUUAAGUUUCUAUAGUUGGAGUAGUAUGAGACGACUUUGUUUCUCUGAAAUUUAGACAAUCUCUUUAAUAUUUGCAUGGUAGGUUUUUUACACGAUGUACAAGUAUAUCCAGUUUUAUUUGGAUAUUUUUUAGCAACAUUGCUUUUGGAAUAGGAUUGUUUGAGUGCUACCAUGGGAAAGUUCAACUUGAAACGACAACAACUCAUAAUAGCCUAAUUUCUUCUAUAUGAGGUUUCACCUUUUAUUUAACUUCUAAGGACUUGAUCACCAACAUUAGGAUUGAAUUCUGAUUUGUUUUUCUACAGUGGUUUAUGAUUGGAUUCAAACAAUGUCUUUACAGGUAAGACAAGCAAUGGAUGUGCGAGGACAUGUGGAAACAUGGGGAUCAAUUGAAGCCUUAGUUUGUGUUAAUUUGUGACUAGCUAUUUGAGUGCAGUAUUUUAUUUGGUGACAAAGAUCUAUCAAAAUAAAAAAAAAUUGGUUCAGGAUUUCCUCUCUAUUUGAUAUUUUCAGAUUUGAUCACCAAAUAUAAGGAUUUUCCGUUGUCAUUUGUUUCUCUGCAGUGAUGUUUGCAUUAUGUUUCAUGCUACGUCUAAUGGAUCAUGUCUGAGUUUUUAUGGCUCUUGGUAACAGGCUUUACAAGGGUUUCAGAGGAUCAGUAAUUUCAGAGGUGAUACCUAUUAUCGUAAUUGUGUCUUACAGUGUGAAUUGUUCAAGUUUUUUCAUUAGCAAAAUAUUAGAUGGCUAACAUUAUUGUCCGUUCAUUUGAUCCAGUAAGAGUCCAUUCUAGAAAUGUGGACUUCUCUUUUUUGUUGAUUUUUAGAUUUGGAAUUGUUCAAGUAUCUACAGCAUGAUUUCCCCUGAAUUCUUGGUUGUUGUUUUGACAGGGUAGAGUUUGGGUUUUUGGAUUAGGAAUUGUUCAACUACCAACCAUGUGUGUACAAGUUUGAAAUAUAUGAUGUGUUUGUCAGAUAUUUUCUUGGGAUAUAUAUAUAGUUGCUAGUUUUAUUUUUUUAUUGAAUUACAUAAAUGCUUUAUUAGUAUGAUCAUUUGAUUAUGGCAGAGUUGUAGUGGUUUUUAUAAAAUUAUUCUUGGUAGUUAUAUAAUUAUUCAUGGUUGUUAUAUUACCUAAUAGUUAUUGUUGUGGGAAAAAUAAUCUAGAAGUCUUUUGUUGGCUAAGGGUUCUGGUAUCUUUCAUUUAUCAUAUUUGACUUUUGACUUCGAUGAUUGAAUUUUGUUGGUAUUUCUUCGACGAUUGAAUAUUUUUAGCAUUUUUUCGGGAUUGUUGUGCUUCUUACUAGUUCACUUCUUGACAAGUCUCCACAAAGGUUUUGUCGAAUUAUAUGAUGUUUGCAAUUCUUCGAUGUGCUUUUGUUGUAUUGUAGAACCCAAAAAUUAUUAGAGUUAUUAAGAAUUAUUAGUAAAUGAUCGAUUGAUGUGCUUUUAUCUGUCGGAUUACCUUUAUGUAAUGAGGCAUAAGGGUUUAAUUGGUGUUUGAAUUAUUUUUGCUUAAUGUCCUGCAUCAUCGCAUGGAGUAUGUUAUGAGGCACAAGGGUUGAAUUGAUGUUUGAAUUAUUUUCGCUUAAUGUUCUGCAGCAUCUCAUGGAGAAUGUUAUAAAUCAUAAUUGUGAUUUGUUUCUCUGUAGCGGUGUUUGGAUGAUUUGCAUAGUGUCUGCAUCUUAUGAGUAUGUAUGGUUUUCGCUUGGUGUCCUGUACCUCAUGGAGUAUGUUAUGAGCCACCGUCUCUCCCUUGGUUUUUUAAUUCUUGAAUUUAUCUUAACGUUCUAUACUUCGUCCUCUGUUACCAGUUAUAGUUUGUUUGUUGAAUUCUUGUUCUUUCCAGGGAUGUGUGGAAUAGGACAGGGAAACAAUGGCACGAUAUUCCUUGAACGGUUAAGCAUUAGUAUUUUUUCAUUUUUACUCUUACAUCAAUUUUUUCUUUUACAUUAAUUUUUAAGUGGCCAAAAUUUUUGGUUGGAUUUUAUUUUUUCUUCCUAGACAUAACCAAAUUCAUUAUGGAGGCCACUGAAUGUCCAAUUUUAAUAGAUGAUAAUGACAAAUGGAUUGAAUUAUGAUAUUGUCUCUUGGGAAGCUUGAAUUUAUGAUCAUGUCUCUGUGCACUGUGAUUUUAGUCACAUAUUGGUGGUCUCAGGCAUAGAUAAAUUGAAAAGAAGGAUCUUGGAAGUUAUUUCUUUCAUGUUAGUAAGUAGUGGUAAUUAGAAAGAGCUCAGGACUAUUUGGAAUCAAUUUUUUUAUUACAAAAAUUUAUUUCGUCUUUAUUAGUUUCCUUUGUUGACAAAUGAAUUUUGAACUUGGUUCUUGCAGAGCAACAAUGUUCUUGCCUAAUUUGUGUUGCCUCUUAUUAAUUUCUCUGGACUUGAUCACCUAAUAGUAAGGGUUGAUUUUCUUUUUGUCAGGUGUUGCAUAGCAUUGAGCCUGGUAUGACUUUCUCUAUUGGCUUUUCAUUCUUGAGUUUAUGAAUUCAUCUUCUCUUAAGAGCAUCAGUAGCUAAACUAACACAAUCAAUGAAUCAUUUGAAGGUAUUACAGUAGUUUUGGACUUGAUCACCCAACAUAUGGGUUGAAUUGUGAACUGGUUUCUCUACUGUAAUAUUUGGAAGUGUUUCUUGUAAUCUUCCUGUGAUGUGUCGAGCCUACGAGCGGCCCCCUUGGUUUUGAAUUUGUGGCCUCCCUUUGUUUUCAAAUUUUGAAUUUACCUUAACAUUUCUGUACUAUGUCAUGUCAUCUCUUUAAAAGAGAUUAGUUCUCUCGAAUCGCCAUGGUUCUUGAUGAGCUUUUAUGGAAAGGCAAUAGAUAUAUGUGGGCAGGUUUCAGAAACAGAACUUUAAGUUUUAUUAUCUUCGCUGUUAUUCUUUUAGCUAAACUUGUGGAGUGGGAGUUCUUGUAGACCAGCACUAUAUGAGUAUGAGAGGCUUUGACAUUUGUGUUGCAGUGACUUACUACGUGUUGCAAUGUCUGUUGGAUUGUGGAGACAAUCGCGGUAGAUUAUUGGACUUUCUGUGAAGCUUUAGGUUUUAUUAUGUUUCUAUUCACUAUGUGCUUGAUUUGGAAUGGCUGUAUUCUAUCUUGUUGGUUGAAUAGUAGGAAGCUACACGUGUCAGUCACUGGGUGUCUAAGCUAGGGCGAUACUUAAUUAUGCUUUAUCCUUGAUCUCAUGAUCUCAACUAUCUUUCAAAAUGUGAAUGUUCUCCAUAAUGACUUCAAUGUUUAGUUCUAUUUCCAAUAUAUGAGAAUGAAAAAGUAUAGUUUUCUCCCUCAAGGCUAUGAGCGACCUACUCUAAAAGGAAAGCUCCAACAGGAGAGCUCUAUUUACUUCGUUUGGAUUGGGGUCUCACUAUUUGUGAUAGGAUAUGGAAGCAGACUGUAUCUUAUUGCUAAUUAUAUUUCUCAAUCUUAGUCCCUUGCUGAUUAUGGUCUUUAUUAUUUAAUGUUUUUGGACUUGAUCACCUAACAUAUGGGCAUGGGCUGAACUGUUGUUUAUCUACAAUAGUAUUUCAAACUGUUUUUGUAAUCUUCUUCGUGCUCUUGGUUUUGAAUUGUGGCUUCCCUUAAUAUUUUAGAUUUGUGAAUUUAUCUUAUUGUUUCUUUACUUUGUCAUGUCAUCUUUUUAAGAAGAUUAGUUUUCUCAAAUUGCCAAGAGUCUUCUUGAGCUUUUACAUGAAUGACGUAUGGGUCAGGUUUUGGAAACACUGGAUGGAGAUACAAUUAAACUUUAGGUUUUAUUAUCUUUGCAUUCAUUAUUUUCUUUGUUGUUAUACAUUUUGCUACUCUUGUGGAGUGGGAGUUCUUGUAGUUGGGCCUUUGACUUUGACUAUUUGAUUAUCUUCUUCUACUUGUGUCGCAGUGAACACUUACCAUGGAUGUUUGUUGCAGUGAAGCUUUAGGUUUUAUUACUUUUCCACUCACUAUUUUCUUAUUUGCUUGAUUUGGAAUGUCUACAGUCUCUCUUAUUGGUUGGAUAGUUGGAAGGUAUCUCAUUGUGUGUAUCUAAGCAAGAGCGAUACGUCUAGGUCCUCCAUCUUCUACCCAGAUUGGUUAUAGUUUUCUUGAAUUCAUUGGCCUUACAGGAAAGCUAAGCAAUGAAGUGUGGUGUAGGAUGUAAAACUGGUGGGUGAAAAUUCUGUGAUCUGUGAAGCUAAAUGUUUCUUUCACCUGUACAUUGUUUGUUCAUCUGAAUUAAUUUUUAAUUGGCUCAACUUGUUGGUUUGAUUAUAAUCUUGGGUGUAUUUUUGAUGGUGUAUGGUUCGUAAGAAGCAUUGUGGGAUGAGCAUGAGGCAAGUGUGAUUGGGCUAUACUCUUUGAUUUGAUGGUUUGCUUCUUGGUUUGGCAAGUUCUUCUAUUUAAUUUUGAUGAUUUCUCUGCAUAAUCCUCGAGCAUAGGUCUUUUACCUCUUUUAUUAGUUUUCCAAAACUUUCGAUUCAUUAUUCUUGAUCACCAAACAUAUGGGUUGAGUUGUGAACUUGUUUGAAAUUUUUUCUCUUUACAGCUAUAAGACAAGCAAUGGAUGUGUGUGGGGACAAUGUAGAAACAUUGGCAGGGGAUCAUUGGAAGCCUUAGGUUUUCUUACCCUUACAUUUUUCUGAUGUGUUCAUUCGUGACUAGCUAUUUGAAUGUAGUCUUUUAUUUGAUGACAUAGAUCUAUUAAAAUAAAAAGAUUGGUCGAGGAUUAAAAUCCAGAAGUAUUUAGAAGUUCCUCUAUUUGAUUUUUUCGGAUUUGAUCACCAAAUAUAAGGAUUUUGUGGUCAUUUGUUUCUCUACAGUGGUGUUUGCAUUAUUUUUCAUGCUAGGUCUAAUCGAUCAUGUUGUGAGUGAAUAUCACUCUUUGUUUUUGAAUUUGUUAUUGUUUUUAUACUUCGUCUUUUUUAGCAACAAAAGCAACAACUGUGAGGUAGAAUGUAGACACCCUAGCACGUGAUCCAGUGAAGAGGAUCUGGAGAUCUUGAUUUUGGAUCUUUCGUAUUGAAGUUCUGAAAAUUAUUUUUUGUUUAGGUGUAGCAGUAUUGAUAAGAUGGAUCUUAAAGUUAUUCCUUUCAUUUUAGUAGUCGUAAUUAUUGCCUUCAUUCUUUGAUUACAGAACUUUUUAUUUUGUCUUGUUUUGUUUCCUGCAUCGACAAAUGAAUUUUGAACUUGUUCUUACAUAAUUUAUCAUUGGAGUUCAUGGUUUUGUCUUUGCAGGGAGGAAAUGGAGGGUUGGUGUAGGUUUGGGAAGCAGUGGAUCGGGACCCUGUGGAAAUUUAGGUUUUAUUGUUUGUGUUGAUUAUGUUCUUUGCUGCUAUUAUUCACAGAUAAACUUGUGGACUGGGAAUACUUACUUCUUUAUGACAGGCACUAUAAGUCUGCGUCAGACAUUUCUUUCAGCAACGGAGUCCUUUAAUAGCAAAGAGUUUCGUUUCCUUUUAUUUUCUUUGUUGUCAAAACAACCUUUGUUUCUUUUUUAUUUCUCAACUAUGGUAUUUAGUUUCACGGCGUUCUCAGAAUGAGUUACUUGAAUCCCUUGCUGAUCUUGUUCAAUCUCAGAAGCUUGUUAAUUUGGUCUUAUCAUGUAAUUUUUCUGGACUUGAUCACCAAACAUAAAGGUUGUAUUGUCAACCUGUUUCUCUCCAUCAGUACUUGGUAUUGUUUCUUGUAAUUUGCUUGCACUGCAUUGUUUGUAAUCUGUUAGGAUAGAGUUUAGCUUUCUUGAUUUAAUUCUCCAGGUUUCCUCCCGUCUUUUACAGGGAGAUAAUGGAUGCGUGUCAUAUGUUUGGGAAGAUCCUGUGAAACUUUAGAUUUUUUUUAUCUUUUGCAUUCAUUAUUUCUUUCUAGUUAUUAUUCUUUGGAUAAUCUUGCACAGUGGGAUUUCAUGCCUAAUUGUAAUAGGCAUAAGAGUUUAAGCAGGAUUCCGGUUGAGGAUUAAAAAAUAUAAAUUUCUCAAUCUUAGUCUAACUAUAUUUCUCAAUCUUAGUCCCUCGCUGAUUUUGGUCUUUAUUAUUUAAUGUUUUUUGGACUUGAUCACCUAACAUAUGGGCUGAACUGUUGUUUAUAUACAAUAGUAUUUCAAAGUGUUUUUGUAAUCAUCUUCGUGCCCUUGGUUUUCAAUUUGUGGCUUCCCUUGAUAUUGUAGAUUUGUGAAUUUAUCUUAUUGUUUCUUUACUUUGUCAUGUCAUCUUUUUAAGAAGAUUAGUUUUCUCAAAUCGCCAUGAGUCCUCUAGAGCUUUGCCACGAGUAUUCUUGACCUUUUACAUGAAGGAUGUAGGGGUGAGGUUUUGGAAAUAGUGGAUGGAGAUAUAGUGAAACAUUAGGUUUUAUUAUCUUUGAAUUUAUUAUGCUGAUAAAAAAACAUCUUUGCAUUCAUUAUUUUCUUUGCUGUUAUUCUUUUUACUACUCUUGUGGAGUCGAAGUUCUUUUAAUUGGGCCUUUGAAUUUGAUGAUUUUAGUAUCUUCUACUUGUGUUGUAGUGAACUUUGAGCUUUCCCAUGAUUCCUAUUGAGCUUUGCCACGAGUUUUCUUGAGCUUGGCCACAGAGUUUUCUUGAGCUUUGCCAUGAGACUUCUUGAGCUUUGCCAUGAGACUUCUUGGGCUUUGCCAUGAGUCUUCGUGAGUAGCCAUGAGUCUUCUUGAGCUUUUCCAUGAGACUUCUUAUGCUUUGCCAUGAGUCUUCGUGAGCUUUGCUUGAGUCUUCUUGAGCUUUGCCAUAAGUCUGUUUGAGCUUUGACAUUAAGGAUGUAGGGUUCAGGUUUUGGAAACAGUGGAUGGAGAUACAGUUAAAGUUUAGGUUUUAUUAUCUUUGCAUUUAUUAUGCUGAUAAAAAAAAUCUUUCCAUUCAUUAUUUUCUUUGUUGUUAUUCUUUUAGCUACUCUUGUGGAGAGGGAGUUCUUGUAAUUGGGCCUUUGACUUUGAUGAUUUGAUUAUCUUCUACUUGUGUUGUAGUGAACUUUGAAUUUGUCAUGAGUCUUCUUGAGCUUUGCCACGAGACUUGUUGAGCUUUGCCAUGAGUCUUCUUGCGCUUUGCCAUGAAUCUUCUUGAGCUUUUACAUGAAGAAUGUAGGGGUCAGGUUUUGGAAACAUCGGAUGGAGAUAUAGUUAAAGUUUAGGUUUUAUUAUCUUUGCAUUCAUUAUUUUCUUUUCUGUUAUUCUUUUUGCUACUCUUGUGGAGUGGGAGUUCUUGUAAUUGGGCCUUUGACUUUGAUGAUCUGAUUAUCUUUUUCUACUUUUGUUGCAAUGAACACUUACCAUGGAUGUUUGUUGGACAUAUUGUGAAGCUUCAGGUUUUAUUACUUCUCUACUCACUAUUUUUCUUAUGUGCUCGAUUUGGAAUGUCUUCAGGUUUUAAUUUUGAUGAAUUCUCUGCAUAAUUCUAUAACAUAGGUCUUUUGUUCUUUUAAUAGUUUUCCAAAACCUUUUGAUUCAUUAUUCUUGAUCCCAAACAUAUGGGUUGAGUUGUGAAGUUGUUUGGAAUUUUUGCAUGUAAUCUCCUCUGAGCCUAGACAACAAUGUCUCUUACUUUGAAUGACAUCAAUGUCUCUACGCUGAAACAUUUGAAAUUAGUAUAAGAAUGAUCACUUUUGUUGAAAUUAUUUAAAUGCUUCACUUUUGUUUCAACAAUCUCCGUAUGUGUUUCUCGUUCCUUGAGUUUUGAAAUUUGCAUUUAUUUGUUUGCAACACAUUGAGUCUUUAUUUGAGGUUUCUUUUUCAGUUUAUUAACUCAACUAGUGAUAGAAUAUAGUGGGACGACUAACAUGUCUAAUCAACCAGUUAUAGAUUUUUUUCCUUUUUUUCCUUUAUUGUUUAUUGAGUUGAGUGUUUUCAAAAUAUUUCUAUAACCACUUGGGAUUGAAAGUCAAACGUUAUGUGUGGCAUUAGAUAAUUGGACUUCUUUUAUUAGUUAUCCAAACCGUUCAUUUUUUUCAUAUUUGUUCUAUUUGGACAGGAAUUGUAUGCGAGAAAGAUAAUGGAGUUUUGGAGGUGAAUUUUUUUUAUAUUUGUUCUAUUAGGACAUGAAUUGUAUGCGAGAAAGAUAAUGAAGUUUUGGAGGUGAAUUUUUUAAUUUCAGUAACGACUCUGGUGGAAUUGUAUUUUGGAGGUGAAUUUGUUAAUUUCUGACGUUUUGGAGGUGAAUUUGUUAAUUCCAGUAUGAACGACGAACAAUUCUUGAUAAAGUAAUUUUCUUUGUUAUUCUAUUUCUUUACCCAAUCCAGGUGUUGCAUUAAUCACUUUUCAGCAUAUAGAACUGUGACCGAUCUUAAGUUUGUGUGCAACGACGCUUUUGGAAAUUUUGUGUCACAAACUUAUUAUUAGGACUUAUUACCUUGGUUUUAUCUGAUCAUUUUGGUCUUGCUAUCUUAUUUUGUGGGUUUUCGUUUGGUUUCAAUUUUCAGUAAUGUUUGAUAAGUUAGCAGUAUUGGAUUUCUUUGUUUGCAUAUCAGAAACUGAACCAAUCUCAAGGCAUUAAGUUUCUAUAGUUGGACUAGUAUGAGACAACUUUGUUUCUCUGAAAUUUAGAUGUCUCUUUAAUAUUGCAUGGUAGUUUUUUUAUAUGAUGUACAAGUAUAUCCAGUUUUAUUUGGAUAGUUUUUUAGCAACAAUGCUUUUGGAAUAAGAUUGUUUGAGUGCUACCAUGGGAAAGUUCAACUUGAAACGAUUACAACUCAUAAUAGUCUAAUUUCUUCUAUAUGAGGUUUCACUUUUUAUUUAACUUCUAAGGACUUGAUCACCAACAUUAGGAUUGAAUUCUGAUUUGUUUUUCUACAGUGGUUUAUGAUUGGAUUCAAACGAUGUCUGGAUCUCAUCGAGCCUUUAAUGAGUUGGUUUCUGAGUUUAAGAAAUCGUCUCAUAUUUUCUAAAAUUCCUCCCUUGAAACAAGUGUUUUUAGUUUUCUUGAAUUUUUGCUCUUUACAGGUAAGACAAGCAAUGGAUUUGUGAGGACAUUUAGAAACAUGGGGAUCAAUUGAAGCCUUAGUUUGUGUUAAUUCGUGACUAGCUAUUUGAGUGCAGUUUUUUAUUUGGUGACAAAGAUCUAUCAAAAUAAAAAAAUUGGUUUAGGAUUUCCUCUCUAUAUUGAUAUUUUCAGAUUUGAUCACCAAAUAUAAGGAUUUUCUGUUGUCAUUUGUGCUUCUUUAUUGAUGUUUGCAUUACGUUUCAUGCUACGUCUAAUGUAUCAUGUUGUCUGGAAGUUUUUAUGGCUCUUAGUAACAGGCUUUACAAGGGUUUCAGAGGAUAAGUAAUUUCAGAGGUGAUACCUAUUAUCAUAAUUGUGUCUUGCAGUGUGAAUUUUUCAAGUUUAUUCAUUUGCAAAAGGGAUCAGUUUCUCGUACAUUUUUGCAGAAGAUUAUAUGGCUAACAUUACCGUCCGUUCAUUUGAUCCAGUAAGAGCCCAUUCUAGAAAUGUGGAUUUCUCUUUUUUGUUGAUUUUUAGAUUUAGCAUUGUUCAAGUACCAACUGCAUGAUUUCAUGGUCUCUUAUGAUUUCCCCUGAAUUCUUGGUUGUUGUUUUGACAGGGUAGGGUUUGGGUAGAGUUUGGGUUUUUGGAUUAGGAAUUUUGAAAUAUAUGAUGAUAUUUUCUAGGGAUAUAUAUGUAUAUAUAUAUAUAUAUAUAUUUAGUUGCUAGUUUUAUUUUUUAUUGAAUUACAUAAAUGCAUUAUUAAUAUGAUUAUUUGAUUAUAGCAGAGUUGUAGUGGUUUUUAUAGAAUUAUUCUUGGUAGUUAUAUAAUUAUUCAUGGUUGUUAUAUUACCUUUGAUAGUUAUUGUUGUUGGAAAAAUAAUCUAGAAGUCCUUUGUUGGCUAAUGAUUCUCUAACAUUAUACUAAGUCCUUUUUUUAAAUUUUAUAGUAGUUGUAUUUGGCUUUGGCAAUUUAGUUUUGUUUUUUUAUUGAUUCUGAUUGUUUAUUAAAUAUUUAUUUUCAUUAGAAUGUUGAUGAUGUGAAUGAUUUCUUAUAAUGUUGAUUGUGAUUCUAUUUUAUAAAAUAUUGUGUUAUGGUAAUCAUUAAUUAAUUGCUUUCUAUGCACUAAUUUAUCAUAUUGUUGUAUGACAAAUCUUAAAGCCCUCUAAGAGAAAGGUUCCUGGGUUGCUCUGUGGAAAGUUCUAAAACUCGCUCACAAUAGUAAAUUAUGGAUCAUGUGCUUUUACACAAGAAUUAUUAGUAAAUUCAUGUACAUGAAUUCUUAGUAUAAUUCUCUAGUUGAUGAUGACGAGUUUUUAACCUUUCGCUUAAAUUCCUUUGCACCUUUUAAGCUUAUGGCUGGUUCACUGAUAUUUCUUUUGCCUAUGGAAGAUAUAAAAACCCCAUCAGCCAAGGGCUCAGCAUAAAGGAAAUCUUUUGAGUUUCCCUUUUAUUAUUAUUUUUUCUGGUAUUGAUGACCGAACAUAAGGAUUUACCUGUGAUGUGUUUAUCUGCAGUGGUGUUUGGAUUAGUUGGGUAUAUUCGCCUUGUCAAGUUUCUAUACUUCCUCUUAGCAAGAGCGGUUAUUGUUUCCUUCAAUAAAAUUUGGUAUUCGUGUUCAUUCCUUUCAGCAACUCAUGAGUCUUUGAGAUUUCUUUUGGCGGUUGAGGAACAAGAAUGGUUGUAGAUCAGGGUAUUCUAAUUUCUCUAUACUUGAUCACCGAACAUUGAAUAGUGAUUGCAGUAAACAUAAGGAUUUAAUUUUGAUUUGUUUCUCUACAGCAAUGUUUGGAUUUUUUUGGUAUAAUGUCCUGCAUCUCAUGGAGUAUGUUAUGCGGCAUAAUAGUUUAAUUGUAAUUUGCUUCUCUGCAGUGUGAAAAUCGCUUUCCGUACUGCAUCUCAUGGGGUAUGUUAUGAGUGACUGUGUCUCUCUUAAUUUUUUAAUUUAUCUAAUAGUCCUUUAUUACUAGUUAUAGUUUUGUUGAAUUAUUGUUCUUUACAUGGAUGUGUGGUAAUUAGCAAGAGCUCAGGACUAUUUGGUUUCAAUUUUUUUAUUACAAAACUUUAUUUUGUCUUUAAUAGUUUCCUUCAUUGACAAAUGAAUUUUGAACUUGGUUCUUGCAAAGCAUCAAUGUCCUUGCCUAAUUUGUGUUUCAAGAUUAUUGAUCUUUUGUAUUGAAGUUCUGAAAAUUCUAUUUUUUUCUUAGGUGGAGCAGUAUUGAAAAGAUGGAUCUAGAAGUUAUUCCUUUCAUUUUAGUAGUGUAAUUAUCAAGAGCUCAGGAUUAUUUGCCUCCAUUCUUUGAUUACAGAACUUUUUAUUUUGUUUGUUUCCUGCAUCGACAAAUGAAUUUUGAACUUGUUCUUGCAUAAUUUAUUAUUGGGAGAAAAUGAAUUGGUGGUGUAGGUUUGGGAAACAGAGGAUCAGGACCCUGUGGAAAUUUAGGUUUUAUUCUGUGUUUAUUUUUUUCUUUGCUGCUAUUAUUCACGGAUAAACUUGUGGACUGGGAAUGCUUACCGCUUUACGACAGGCACUGUAAACGUCUGUGUCAGCCAUUUAAUUUUCUCUUUCUAUUCCACACUCAGACAUUUCUUUCAGCAAUUGAGUCAUUUAAUCGCAAAGAGAGUUUUGUUUCCUUUCAUGUUCUUUGUUGUCAAAACAACCUUUGUUUCUUUCUUAUCAGCUAUAGUUUUUAGUUUCACUGCGAUCUUGUGAUGUGGUUAUUCAUUCGAGGAUUGAUGUGUUCUUUGGAAAUGAGGUGGUUAUUCAUUCGAGGAUUGAGUUCCAUUGUCUUUGACUUGCAUUGUUUGUGUUCAUUGCUAUCAAACAACUUUCUUCCUUUUAAAUGUAUGGAGUCUAUUUUUUAAUAUAAAAUCCCCACUAAAUGUUAAGGUUUUAUUUUUUUCUUUCUUUUUCAUCAUUUUCCUAGUUAUUUGUGUUUCUCAUAGGCUUGGUCUCAUCCCUUCGACUUGCAUUUUUUUGUGUUCUUUGCUAUUAAAAAACUUUUUUUUUUUUAAAUAUAUGGAGCCUUUUUUGCUACGUCUAGAUGUUGAUUUGUUUGCGUUCAUGCCUUUUUAGGUGUUGAUUUGUUUGUUUUCAUUCCUUUUUAGCAUGUGGAGACCUCAAGAACGGUUGAGGAUUAAAAUCUACAAGUGCUUAGAACGACCAAUAAUUCAGGAUAACCUAAUUUCACGAGUUUUCUUUCUAUUUGAUUUUUUGAGAUUUGAUCAUGAAGCAUAAGGAUUGAAUUGUCAUUUGUUUUAUGAUGCCUCUCUUUGUUUUGAAUGUCUUAUUGUCUCUAUACUUCAACAUUAUGAGCCGUUGUAGCCUUCCUGAAUUCUUGGGGUGUACAGUACAUGACAAACAUGCAUCAGAUGUUAGGUAGGACAGAUGUGAGUAUCCUUGAAGCUUGAAUACUGGCAGGAGAUCCUUGAAGCUCUAGGUUUUGGUAUCCACACAUAUUUUUUCUUUAACUGGAACUGGCUCUUUCAAUUUCUCUGGUUUUUUAAUUCCUUCAAUUCAUUAAUUCAUCUUAUGCUUUCUUAAAUUCUUGGUCUUUAUUACCAAUAUCUAUUUGAAUUUAAAUAUAGUUCUUAAAUUUUUUAUGUAUAGGUGUUGAUUCGUUUUUGUUCAUUCCUUUUUAGCAUGUAAGACUGGUUGAGGAUUAAAAUCUGGUAGUGUACACGAAAAACAAGCAACGGAUGUGAGGUAGGAUAUCUAAAUACUGGAAAGAGAUGCUUGAUUCUGUAGGUUAUCCAUACUCUUUGAUGACAGAUGCCUACUUGAGUUUGGAUGUAGUUAUUUAUUUGAUGACAAAGAUCUAUCAUAUGUAACUUUGUGUUAAUUCCUUUUCAGCAGGGGAUUCUGGUUGAGGAUUAAAAAACAUAAAUUUGAAUAUUGUUUUUGUCUGAUUACUGAAAUAUGUCAAAUCUAGCUUUUUGAUCUGUGAAUAUGUUGAUUCUUUUCUAGCAAAUAAUGCUCAGGGAAGAUGUCUCCUCUUUAUUUGAAACUUUGUAGAUUGAGCAUAUUUUUCCAGACUGAUAUGUGAGCUAGGAUGUGGAAACACUUGCCAGGGGAUUUGUGAAGCUUUAGGUUUUGUUACCCUUACAUUUCUUGUGUCUUUAUUUGUGACUGACUAAACUUCUUGUUUGGAUUCUAAGUUUUGGUUGGAUUCAUUGCUAACCUUGUAGUUUGACUGGCAGUCUUGCAGUUCUUGUGGGUUUAGAGGUCGUGUAAUUUGGGGAGGAUUUGUCUGGCAGAAUUUCUAACCACUUAAUAUGAAGUACUGAAUUAAUAAUAGUGAAAAAAAGAUAAAGAAAAUAUAUCAUGGUCAUUAAAAGUUUAUGUUUCUUGUUCUGUUCAGCCAUGCCACUUGUCAGUGAACUCUUGCUUCUUUCUCUAUUGCUGCAUAUGCAUUUGUGACUGACUAAACUUCUUGUUUGGAUUCUAAGUUUUGGUUGGAUUCAUUGCUAACCUUGUAGUUUGACUGGCAGUCUUGCAGUUCUUGUGGGUUUAGAGGUCGUGUAAUUUGGGGAGGAUUUGUCUGGCAGAAUUUCUAACCACUUAAUAUGAAGUACUGAAUUAAUAAUAGUGAAAAAAAGAUAAAGAAAAUAUAUCAUGGUCAUUAAAAGUUUAUGUUUCUUGUUCUGUUCAGCCAUGCCACUUGUCAGUGAACUCUUGCUUCUUUCUCUAUUGCUGCAUAUGCAUUUUUUUCGCAAUUUUUACUCAUUUUUUUUAGGUUGUCCAUUUCUAAGUAAUUUAGGCUUCUCAUAGCUUUUACGAGUCCUGGAUUUAUAGUGAAAUUUGACCCUUUUACAUGGAGCAAUUGAAAUUAAGGAGAGAAUUAUUGAUCUUUAGUUUUAUAGUACUGAAUUAAUUUUGGAUUUGCUUAGGUGUAGCAAAUUUGAAAGGUCAUUUUCUUAGUUAUUACUUCAUUUACUAAAUUAUCAAGAGCAUUGGACAAUUUGAUUUUGUAGUGUUUUGUUUGCUGCAUUGACAAAUGAAUCUUGCAUUCUAUUGUUUUUAGUAGUUUUGGAUUACAUUCUGAAUAUGACAUAUGAUGAUCUCUUCUAUCUUCCAAAAUGUGAAUGAUCUCCAACAUUAGAGUUGUAUUUAGUUCUAUGUCCAAUGUGAGAAUGAGAAAAUUGAGAGCUCUAUUUAGUUUUAUUCCAAUUAUCUCUCUAAUAUGAGAAUGAGAUACAACAGUAGUUGGAAUGUUUUCUUGCAAUCUUCCUGUGCUAUGAUUCAGUUCUCUCUCCAUAUAUAGAAUAAGAAAAUGAGAAAGAGAAACAAGAAUAUUUGUCAUGUUUUGUCGUAAUCUUCUUGCACUAUGAUUCGGUUCUCUCCCAAUAUACCAAUGAGAAAAUGAGAAACAACAAUAUUUGGAAAGUUUUGUCGUAAUCUUCUUGCGCCAUGAUUCGGUUCUAUCCCCAAUAUGCGAACGAGAUGAGAAACAACAGUGUAUGAGAGCUCCAUUUAGUUCUAUCUCCAAUAUGAGAAUUGGAAAACAACAGUACAUGAGAGUUCUAUUUAGUUUUAUCUCUAAUACGAUAAAGAAGAGAAACAAAAGUAUUUGGAUUGUUCUCUUUGUAAUCUUCGUGUGCUAUGAGCAACGCCUACCCUCGAGGCUAUGGUAACGGGUGAUGCCUCUCUAUUCCAACAUGAGAGCUCUAUAUAUUUCUUUCGGGUUGGGGUCUCAAUUUAUGAUACCAUGUGGAAGCAGACACCAUCUUUUUGCCGACUAUAUUUCUUAGUCUUGCUGAUUUUGCCAUGCUGAACUUGGUUUUCUUGAAUUGCCAUGCUUCUUAAACUUUUACAGUAAGGCAAUAGAUAUGUGGGGGCAGGUUUUGGAAACAGUGGAUGGAGAUCUCGUGAAACUUUAGAUUUUAUUAUCUUUGCAUAUUCAUUAUUUUCUUUGAUGGCUAAACUUGUGGAUUGGGAGUUCUUGUAAACAGGCACUACGUGAGUUUGAGAGGCUUUGGCAUUUGUGUUGUUAGGCCUUCGAUCCUGAUGAUUUGAUAAUCUGUUGCAGUGAAGACUUUAUGGAUGUUUGUUACCCAGUUACGGUACAUCAUUGGACUUACAUUUCCAUUUCAUUAUUUUUUUAUAUCCAUGAUUUGGUUGUGGUAUCUCUUAUUGGUUGAAUAGUGGGAAGGCACAUGUGACAGUAGUUGUGUGUGUCUAAGCAAGUGCGAUAGUUGAUUCCGAACAUUAUGAUCAUUGAAGUUACCCUUGACUAGUCUAUGUUAGUUUUUUUUAUAUGAUAUACAAGUACAUCCAUCCUUUGUUAACAACAAUCCUUUUGAAAUAGGAUUUGUUUAAGCGCUAGUUUCGGCACGAAUAUGCAAGUUCAACUUGAAACCAGUUCAUGAUAACCUAAUUUCUUCUGAGGUUCCAGCUUUUAUUAGUUUUCAUUCGGAGUAUGUACAAGUUUGAAAAGGUAUCAUUGUGUUGAUAUAUGCUCGUUUUAGUCUAGCUAUCUUCUCCCUUAAUUGUUACUUUGACAGGGUAGGUGUGAGGUUUUUGGAUUACAAAUUGUACCAACUGUAUGUAAAGUUUGAAAUAUGUGAUGCUUUGUCAAAUGUUUUCUAGGAGUAUACUUGUGAUUUGUUUAUCUGUAGCUGUGUUUGGAUGCUUUGCAUACUACAUCUUAUGGAGUAUGUAUGGUUUUCGCUUGGUGUCCUUCACCUCGUGGAGUAUGUUAUGAGCGACCGUUUGUCCCUUGGUUUUUUAAUUCUUGAAAUUAUCUUAUAGUUCUAUACUUCGUCCUCUAUUACCAGUUAUAGUUUGUUGAAUUCUUGUUCUUUCCAGGGAUGUAAAUAAUGGCAAGAUAUUCCUUGAACGGUGAAGCAUUGGUUUUUUUUUUACUCUUACAUCAAUUUUUUCUUUCUUUUGCAUUAAUUCUUAAGUGGCUAAACUUGUUGGUUGGAUCUUUACUUAAUUUAUAAUGGAGGGCCAUUGAAUGUCCAAUUUUAAUACAUGAUAUGACAAAAGGAUUGAAUUAUGAUAUUGUCUCCUUGAAGCUUGAAUUUAUGAUCGUGUCUCUGUGCGCUGUGAUCUUAGUCACAUUGGUGGUAUAGGCAAAUUGAAAAGAAAGAUCUUGGAGUCAUUCCUUUCAUUUUAGUAGAGAUAAUUACCAAGAGAUCAAGACUAUUUGACUUCAAUUUUUUCGUUACAAAACUUUAUUUUGUCUUUAUUACUUUCCUUCAUUGACAAAUGAAUUUUGAACUUGGGUUCUUGCCUAAUUUGUGUUGCAAGAUUAUUGAUCUUUUGUAUUGGAGUUCCAAAAAUUAUAUAGUCACAAGACUAUAAUUUCAUGAGUCUUGACUUUGCUAUUCUUAUUCGGAGGGUCUGUACUAUGUAUGUUUUGUCUUUUCUGUUUUAAAGUGUUUUUCCUUGUUUUUAUUUGUGUGGUUCAGACUGAAUAAAUGAGAUACCGAUUUUCUUGUUCUCCUCAUGUUACAUCAACCAUUUUAUUGCUACUUUUAUUCAUUUGCAAAGGCUAAGUAUAAUAUUAUUUCUUCAGAUUUCUUUGUACUUGAUAGUAAAUUUUUAGGUGUUGCAUAGCGCUUGAUAUGACUUUCUCUAUUGGAUUUUCAUUCUUGAAUUUAUGAAUUCAUCUUGUCUAGAUUCUAUACUUCUAUUAAGAGGGCCUCGUAUGACUUUCUCUAUUUUAUGGAUUUGGAAGUGUUUUUUAAAUUUAUAAAAUCUAGAACUCUUUUUUGGAUUUGAAAUAAGCCUAUGAAUUAUGUAAUCAUGAUUUAUUCUAGAUUACAUAAUUCGGAAGUCAAUCUCAUAUUUAGAAAAGACUUUUGGAUUAUGUAAUUCUAAAGUUAAUCACACAUCUUAAAAAAAGGUUGUUUUCGGAUUACAUAAUUCGAAAGUUAAUCUUAUGUAUAAAAAAGACUUUCGGAUUAUGUAAUUUGGAGGCUAAUCAUAAAAGGCUUUUGGAUUACAUAAUUUGGAUCUAGAAAAAGACUUUUGGAUUAUGUAAUCUGGAAUAUUAAAAAAUGGUAUUUUGGAAUACAAAAAAUUUAUGGAGUGACACAAGAAGGUACAAAGGUGCAUGAAGAAGCAACCUUUGUAGUUUCUAUAACUUCUAUUAAAAGCAGUGGUAGUUUUCUUUAAUUUUUGGGCUUUACAGCUAACCCGACCAAUGAAACAUUUGAAAGUAUGGACUUGAUCACCCAAUCUAUGGGUUGAAUUGUGAAGGCAAUUUCUUCUUGUACCAUAUCAAUUCUAACCUUCAUCUUAUCAUUUUUCAAAAUUUCUAAAAUUUUCCUUAUACCAGAUUUAAAAAUCUGGAAUAGUAAAAAUAAUUUAAAAAUAAAAAAUAUAUUUUGGAUAAAAAAAAUCUAGAACACAAUUAAAAAUGCAUUUUAGAUAAAAAAAAUUGGAAUUCAAAAAUGUGUUCUGGAAUAUUUCUGGAUAAAAGGUUUUGGAAGUAAUUUUUAUUUACACCCUUCUUUUUUUAAGGUUAUUUUGUCAUUUUGGAAGGCCAUUUUUGUAAUCUUCAAUACCAGGUUGGGUGCAUGUUGGAAUUAAUAUGGUGCACGGAGCAAUUGCCAACUGUGAACUGGUUUCUAUACUAAAAUAUUUGGAAAUGUUUAUGGUAAUCUUUUUGUGUUGUGUUGAGCCUAUGAGCAGCUCCCUUACUUUGUCAUCUCUUUAAGAGAGUUUAGUUUUCUUGAAUCCCAUGGUUCUUGUUGAGAUUUUACGGGAAGGCAAUAGAUAUAUGUGGGCAGGUUUGGAUAACAGUGAAGAAGGAGGUUCAUUAAACUAAUUUAAAUGUUAUCCUGAAAUUUAAUGUUAGGUAAACCAGAAACUAAAUCUUUAGAUUUCAAUUUAUUUACGUGAUUAGUGUGUAUGUGAGCUAACCUCCUGUGCCAUAGCCAAGACUCAUCACUUCUAGACAGUAAACACUCAUUUGAAGAGUCAGUUUCCAUGAUAUUCAAAAGAUAUAUGUUAUUCACUCUCUUACCAGUAAACAGUACCUUACUAAAUGAAUCACUUGAGAUUGUGCAGCUAUUUGACUUAAAAUUCACCUUGUAUCCUUUGUCACAAAGCAAAGUUGACUUAUGCUGAGAAGGCUAUGCUUGAGUCCUUCUACGUAAAGCACAUUCUCAAUAGUGGUUGAGUUCCCUGUUUCAACUGUGCUUCUGCCCAAAAUUCUUCCUCGGUUAUUAUCACCAUAUGUUACAUGUCCUUCUGCUUUGAGCUUCAAGCUAGUGAAUUUUGUAAGAUCUCCAGUCAUAUGCUUGUAACAGCCACUGUCCAAGUACCACUGAUUUUUCUUGCUGCCAAUCUGCAAAACAGAAUAAAAAUGAUACAAAUGGUACCCUUUUUAGUAUAGGGUCCAGCACAUAUUAAAACAUUCUCUUUGGUAGCCAUUUUGCUAAAUUCUUAGGAACAAGAUGCUUUCUAGCAAUGCAAGACCUAGAGAUAUGACCAGAUUUCAUGCAGUAAAAACAGGUUACAUGAGAUGCUUUUUUCCCACUAUUAAAAGUUGAAAAACCUGAUUUUGUUGGAACAAAAAAACUUGAAAGCUUUUUGACACUGGUUACAUUUCCAAUGGUAUAACCAAGUCCAUUUUUAUUGAAAACAACAUUCUUUGAGCCAAGAAGAGACUCAAGUUCCCUUAGUGAAAUUGGAAAGGGUUUUUAGCAAAUACUCCACUUGUUUUUCCAAUUUUUUGCAGUUUUCACAGGUUUUAAUAGAGGCAUGCAAGCAUGUUAGUUCAAGGUUUACCAAAUCUGUUUUGGCCUUAUGCAAUUCUUCCUCAAGUGUUUUUACUUUAGGUGCAAGCACAUUAUUUACCUUUUGCAUCUUAUUGCAUAUUACAGCUAGCCUAUUUGCUUCAUCAUGUGUUUCUUUGAAAGCAACAAGCAAUUGAUCAUAGUUAUCUGAAUCCACAGAAAAAAUCACUUAUUGAAUCAGAUAUUGACUCCUCAUCCUUCAUCAUGAAGCACAAAUUGUUUUCACCAUUCUCAGUUGAAGAGUUGCCGGUUGAAGAUACUUCAUUUUCCUCCCAUGAGAUGUAAGCUCUUCUUUUCGUCUUCAGGAAUUUGCUGAAUCUUUUUGUAAGAAGACUGAUUGUUUCAUCAUCUUCAGCAUCUUCUUUUUCCUCCUUGAUAUCAUUAUGUUCAGUUGCUUUCAAUGUAAGACCUUUCGGUUUUCUCUAUGUUAUUUCCUGCUCUUUGAGUCUCUUGAGCUCUAGCUCAUGCUCCAUUAGCUUUCCAAAGAGUGCAUCUGUUCCUAGCUUUGAUAGAUCACAGUUUUUAGAUAUGGCAGUCACCUUUGGUUGCCAGCUUCUGUCGAGGCACUUCAAUAUUUUUAUGUUGAGUUCCUCUCUGUCAAAUUCAUUUCCCAAACCAGUAAGGUGAUUCACAAUACGAGUGAACCUUUUCUGCACAUUAGCAAUGCUCUCCUCGGGUUGCAUUUUAAACAAUUCAUAUUCUUGGAUGAGAGCAUGUUUUCUUGACCUCUUCACAUCUUCAGUACUCUCAUGAGUGACUUCUAAGACUUCCCACAUCUCCUUAGCUGACUUACAUUGGGAUAUCGUAAAGAACUCAUCCAUUGUUAAUGCAGAGGUUAUGAUGUUCUUGGCCACAAGAUCAUGUUGAGCCUUCCUCCUUUCGGUCUCAUUCCAUUCAAAUCUUGGCUUUACCACUUCUUCAUCCUUGACAACCUACAUUGGCACAUAGGGUCCAUGAACCACAACUUUCCAGAUUAAUGCAUCAAUAGAUUCCAUGAAAAUUCGCAUUCUAAUCUUCCAAAAUGCAUAAUUCAUUCCAUUGAACAUAGGUGGUCUAUUAACGGCAGAUCCCUCAGCAAAAAGCACUUUAAACUCAUACAUUAUUACAAACAAACUUGAUUAAAAUACAAGUCCUAGCUCUUGAUACCAAUUGUUGGGAUUAAUAGUGUCAAAGUUCAAGAGGGGGUGAAUUGAUCUUUUAAAAGUUUCUCGCAGAACCAAUAUUUUUCACAGAGUACAAAAAAUAAAUCGAUUUAUUUGAAAUUGAACAAAUUUAUUUUAGCACUAUUUGUGUUUGAAAAACGUUUAGACAGUCAGGUUAAUUACAAGAUUAUGCAGAUCGAUUUUCCAGAUACACACACUGAUAUAAUGAAGAAAAACUAUUCAUUUACAGAUGAACAGAUUUAUUUUUCAAAACGAAAACAGAAAAAGCUUAACUAUUUAAAACUCAGUCGUUUUGAAAGGUAGAAGACUUAGUCAAAAUGCUUGAUGCACAAAAUCUAAUUUUCACAAGACUUAGCCAAUGUAUCAGUUUAAAAAAGAAUCUGUUUAUUUAGAAAAGAACAGAUUUAUUUUUAUGCAGUAAACGUGUUUUUUGUAAAAUAUGUGAAAAACAGUUUAAGAAACCUUAUACUUGUUCUUAUCACAUGGUCAAUGGUUAGGAGGUGAGUUACUCAGCAAAAAGCCUACUCUUAAACAACCUCUAAACACUACCUAAGACAUUCUUAAAACAAAUGUAAAUAUACAUGAAUUGUACACAAAAGUCUUCAUCAAACACAUGUCUUGAAGGGGCAGCAACCAUCUUCAACAAUCUCCCCCUGUUUGAUGGAGACAAAUCCCCAUAGCUCUGUCGCUUUAAGAACCUGUACUGCACCGAAUACUAAACCAGAAAAACAGAACAUUGCAUAACAUGUGAAAUGGUUUUAAGGUGCAAAAUUUAACUUCCUGUUUCAGCUAGCUUCACCUAGCAUGGUGAGCUAUUUUUCCCCCCCUUUGGAUUCAUCAAACAGCAUGUAAGCAUAGGAAAAAAAAAACAAAAACAUAACCAUAAUAGUCCAAAAGAUAAAGACACAUUGUUCAACAUUACAGAAUUUUAAAACUGAUAAAGAAAGCAUGAAAAUACUUCUAAUCCUUGUAGUAUAGCUCUGCAAGUUGUACUUGAACUCCUUCAAUUUGAUCAUCAAGGUGUUGAAACCUUGCUUGAGUGGUCUCAAAAUAUGCCCUUUGUUCUGCUGUCAUGACAUCAAGGCAAUGCAAAACUUGCCUUUCAAACAUGGACAAUGGUUCACCAUGGUAUUCUGGAGUUUGAUAGGCCACAAUGACAUUCAGAUGAGUGGCAACAGCUUCUUCAUGCAUUGAUUGGGGAGCAGGUGAGUCUCCUCUGAGUUCUACAGAUGGAGAGCUUGUCCUUUGAUUUCCAGCAUGUUCAACAGAUUGCUCUUGACCAUAGGAGUGAUGGAUAACAUAACAUGAAUGUUCUGCAGCUUGAACUGUGUCAUCCUCCAUGGGAACAACUUCAUCCUCAUCUUCAUUGUUGAGGUUUGAGGCUCCAUGUUCUGCUUGAGGGUUCUUGCCUUUGAGAACCACCCAAUUGUCCUCUACUUUGUGAAAUCCCAUCUUUGUGAGAGUUGAAUUGUCAAUCUCACUUACAGCCUUGAUGGGGUCGUUUCUCUCAUUUAUAGCAUCAACACCAAAGAAAUCAAUCAAUUUUGAAACAAAAAUAGCAUAAGGAAAGCAAUAAUCAGCCAACCUUUUGGAUUUCAGCAUGUGUUCAUUUAUAAUGAAAACCCAGUUUACCUUAAUCUAGUUCAUGAUGCAAUAUAGAAGGAUUAAAUCUUCUUCAUGUAAAACAACAUGAUUUGUACCACUUGGGAUGAGUUGCCAUGCUAUAAUGUAGGUAACAAGACGUGGUGUAAGGUUCAAAUGACUUGCAUGGAACCUGUUUAUGCUCUGUGUAGGGUUCCUCAUACAGCUCUUAUAAUAUUGCAGUUUGUUGAAUUCUUGAAUCCCACUGGUGUUUCCUUUUCCAACUUUUAGUCCAGCAUACUUGAUUCCAGCCAUUGAAUUCCAAACAUCACUUGUGAUCUUCAUUUUGAUCCUUUUUCACAUAAGAGACAAUGUUCUUUCCAUCCAAUGUUAGGUUAGUGUAAAACACCUUAACCAAAUCAAGAUAUACAUUACCCGUUAAUUCCAGCAGCUUUUUCAGUUUCUGGUGCUUCAACACAGCCCUUGUUUCUGCCAAUUUUUUUGAUUUUAGCCAGUUGAAAUCUAGCACCUUAGGUAUGUUAAUCUGCUUUCUACAUGUCUCGUGCAUGUAGGCAUUGAUACCUUCUUCAUUUCCAGCGAACCAACCUUCUAGCACACCUUGAAAGGUGGUUUGCUUGCCAUUAUUUUUCUGUUUCUGUCUUGAAGAAGAAGCCAUGGUUGAACCAGAAUUUUCUCUUGGUUUCAAAUGGUGAAAACGGAAAAUAGGUAGCCAAUGUGGGUAGCAAAUAUUCGCACAGAUUUAUAUUGAGAAAUGAAUAGGUUGAUAUGACAGUUAUGAGUGGAUAUGCAUGAAGAUUUUAUGCUCUGAAUUUGUGCAGAGAAUAUAUGCAACAAAUAUUUAGGGUCACGAUGCAUACAACUCAUACCUUCAUUGAGCACCCAAACCAUCAAAUCGGUUACAUAACCAUGACCAAAACCGUCAAAGGUACAAAGGUUAAUGCCCACUAAGUCAGUCAAUCAGUCAAAGAUCAGAAUUUCUCUUUCCUAGUCAUCAAUGCAUAUCAGUACAAAAAUAAACACAUUUAAUUACGAAUAAACAUAUUUAAUUUUUCACUGCUAGGCACAAUUGACAUUUAUAAUACCCAAUUCAUUAAGCAGAAAAUUAAACCUAUCCUUAGCCAAUGGUUUUGUGAACAAAUCAGCAAGUUGUAAAUCUGUACCAAUGAAUUUAAUCUCACAUGUUCCAUUUGAAAUGUGUUCCCUUAGAAAAUGAUGCCUAAUUUCAAUGUGUUUGGUUCUUGAAUGCAUGACAGGAUUUUUGGUUAAGUUGAUUGCACUUGUAUUAUCACACAACAGAGGUAUAUGGUUAAGUAAGAUACCAAAAUCAUUUAAUUGUUGUCUUAGCCAUAUGGUUUGAGCACAGCAACUCCCUGUUGCAAUGUAUUCCGCUUCAGUCGUGGAGAGAGCUACACAAGCCUGCUUUUUGCAUUGCCAUGAGAUCAAGUUUGAUCCAAGCAAGUGACAGGUUCCACUGGUGCUCUUCCUAUCAAUUUUGCAACCUGCAAAGUCUGAAUCCGAAUAUCCAGUUAAGCUUAAUGAAAUGUUACUUGGAUACCACAAGCCAACUUCUUUAGUUCCUUGCAAAUACUUCAAAAUCCUUUUGGCAGCAUUGUAGUGUGAUUCUUUAGGAGCAGAUUGAAAUCGAGCACACAUGCACACUGCAAACAUUAUGUCAGGCCUGCUGGCAGUGAGAUACAGUAGUGAUCCUAUGAGUCCUCUGUAUUUGGUUUCAUCAACAGAAAUUCAAGCUUCAUCAUGAUCCAAGUGACAACUUGUUGAGAAGGGUGUGCUGAUUGGUUUACACUUGUCCAUUUCAAAUUUCUUCAGCAGAUCCUUGCAGUACUUAGCUUGACUUAAGAAAAUGCCAUCCUUGAGUUGUUUGACCUGCAAGCCUAGAAAAUAGUUCAACUCACCCAUCAUUGACAUUUCAAACUCACUCUUCAUGACUUUCACGAAAGCUUCACACAAUUCUCCAUUGUUUGAUCCAAAAAUGAUGUCAUCCACAUAUACUUGUACUAGGAUUAUGUCAUCUCCUUUCUUCUUAAUGAACAAGGUCUUAUCUGAUGUGCCUCUAUCAUAGCCUUGAGAGGUGAGAAAAUCACUUAGCCUCUCAUNNNNNNNNNNNNNNNNNNNNNNNNNNNNNNNNNNNNNNNNNNNNNNNNNNNNNNNNNNNNNNNNNNNNNNNNNNNNNNNNNNNNNNNNNNNNNNNNNNNNNNNNNNNNNNNNNNNNNNNNNNNNNNNNNNNNNNNNNNNNNNNNNNNNNNNNNNNNNNNNNNNNNNNNNNNNNNNNNNNNNNNNNNNNNNNNNNNNNNNNNNNNNNNNNNNNNNNNNNNNNNNNNNNNNNNNNNNNNNNNNNNNNNNNNNNNNNNNNNNNNNNNNNNNNNNNNNNNNNNNNNNNNNNNNNNNNNNNNNNNNNNNNNNNNNNNNNNNNNNNNNNNNNNNNNNNNNNNNNNNNNNNNNNNNNNNNNNNNNNNNNNNNNNNNNNNNNNNNNNNNNNNNNNNNNNNNNNNNNNNNNNNNNNNNNNNNNNNNNNNNNNNNNNNNNNNNNNNNNNNNNNNNNNNNNNNNNNNNNNNNNNNNNNNNNNNNNNNNNNNNNNNNNNNNNNNNNNNNNNNNNNNNNNNNNNNNNNNNNNNNNNNNNNNNNNNNNNNNNNNNNNNNNNNNNNNNNNNNNNNNNNNNNNNNNNNNNNNNNNNNNNNNNNNNNNNNNNNNNNNNNNNNNNNNNNNNNNNNNNNNNNNNNNNNNNNNNNNNNNNNNNNNNNNNNNNNNNNNNNNNCAAUUCAUUUUGAUUUAAAACAGAUUUAAAUUCAUUACUGUCAAGAUCAUCAGCAGCAGUUUUAGAUAUGUUAUGAUCAGUUUCAUAAAAAACAACAUGCAUUGAUUCUUCUACUAUGAACAAUCUUUUAUUGAAGACUCUAUAUGCAUGAUCAUUCAAAGCAUAACCAAUGUGCACACCUUCAUCAGAUUUAGCAUCAAACUUACCAAGAUUUUCUUUGCCAUUAUUCAAUACAAAGCAUUUACACCCAAAAACUCUAAGGUGGCUCACACUAGGUUUUCUGCCCUUAUACAAUUCAUAUGGGGUUUUCUUAAGAAUAAGUCUUAUUAAGGUUCUAUUCAACACAUAAGUUGCAGUAUAUACUGCAUCUGCCCAAAAAUACUUAGGGAGCUUAGAUUCAUUUAACAUGGUUUUAGCUAGUUCCUCUAAUGAUCUGUUUUUCUUUUCAACUACACCNNNNNNNNNNNNNNNNNNNNNNNNNNNNNNNNNNNNNNNNNNNNNNNNNNNNNNNNNNNNNNNNNNNNNNNNNNNNNNNNNNNNNNNNNNNNNNNNNNNNAUUUGUUUACCUUUCACACAAGCAUCACAGAGCCUGUUAUCCUUAAAUUUAAUGUUAGGUAAACCAGAAACUAAAUCUUUAGAUUUCAAUUUAUUUAAGUGAUUAGUGUGUAUGUGAGCUAACCUCCUGUGCCACAACCAAGACUCAUCACUUCUAGACAGUAAACACUCAUUUGAAGAGUCAGUUUCCAUGAUAUUCAAAAUAUAUAUGUUAUUCACUCUCUUACCAGUAAACAGUACCUUACUAGAUGAAUCACUUGAGAUUGUGCAACCAUUUGACUUAAAAUUCACCUUGUAUCCUUUGUCACAAAGCUGACUUAUGCUGAGAAGGCUAUGCUUGAGUCCUUCUACAUAAAACACAUUCUCAAUAGUGGUUGAGUUCCCUGUUCCAACAGUGCCUUUACCCAAAAUUCUUCCUCGGUUAUUAUCACCAUAGGUUACAUGUCCUUCUGCUUUGAGCUUCAAGCUAGUGAAUUUUGUAAGAUCUCCAGUCAUAUGAUUGGAACAGCCACUGUUCAAGUACCACUGAUUUUUCUUGCUGCCAAUCUGCAAAACAAAAUAAAAAUGAUACAAAUGGUACCCUUUUCAGUAUAGGGUCCAGCACAGAUUAAAACAUUCUCUUUAGUAGCCAUUUUGCUAAAUUCUUAGGAACAAGAUGUUUUCUAGCAAUGCAAGACCUAGAGAUAUGACCAGAUUUCAUGCAGUAAAAACAGGUUACAUGAGAUGCUUUUUUGCCACUGUUAAAAGUUGAAAAACCUGAUUUUGCUGGAACAAAAAAACUUGAAAGCUUUUUGACAUUGGUUACAUUUCCAGGGGUAUAACCAAGUCCAUUUUUAUUGAAAACAGCAUUUUGUGAGCCAAUAAGAGACUCAAGUUCCCUUGGUGAAAUUGGAAAGGGUUUUUAGCAAAUACUCCACUUGUUUUUCCAACUUUUUGCAAUUUUCACAGGUUUUAAUAGAGGCAUGCAAGCAUGUUAGUUCAAGGCUUACCAAAUCUGUUUUGGCCUUAUGCAAUUCUUCCUCAAGUGUUUUUACUUUAGGUGCAAGCACAUUAUUUACCUUUUGCAGCUUAUUGCAUAUUACAGCUAACCUAUUUGCUUCAUCAUGUGUUUCCUUGAAAGCAGCAAACAAUUUAUCAUAGUUAUCUGAAUCCACAGAAAAAUCACUUACUGAAUAUUGACUCCUCAUCCUUUAUCAUGAAGCACAGAUUGUUUUCCUCAUUCUCAGUUGAAGAGCUGUUGGUUGAAGAUACUUCAUUUUCCUCCCAUGAGAUGUAAGCUCUUCUUUCCUUGCUCCUUUCCACUCUCUUGCUGGCAGAUUUAUCCUUUGAUUGAUUGUUUGGACAAUUCAUUUUGAUGUGCCAUGUUUUGCCACAGCCAAAGCAAGUAUAGUUAGAGGAAUUUAAAUAAUUAGGUUUUGGAUACAUUCUUUUCUGCUGGUUCCUAUUUCUGCUUUUCUUCUUCAAGAAUUUGCUGAAUCUUUUUGUAAGAAGACUGAUUGUUUCAUCAUCUUCGGCAUCUUCUUUUUCCUCCUUGAUCUCAUUCUGUUCAGUUGCUUUCAGUGCAAGACCUUUGGGUUUUCUCUCUGUUCUAGCUCAUGCUCCAUUAGCUUUCCAAAGAGAGCAGCAGUUCCUAGCUUUAACAGAUCAUGACUUUCAGAUAUGGCAGUCACCUUUGGUUGCCAGUUUCUGUUGAGGCACUUUAAUAUCUUUAUGUUGAGUUCCUCUCUGUCAAAUUCUUUUCCCAAACCAGUAAGGUGAUUCACAAUACGAGUGAACCUUUUCUGCACAUUAGCAAUGCUCUCCUCGAGUUGCAUUUUAAACAAUUCAUAUUCUUGGAUGAGAGCAUGUUUUCUUGACCUCUUCACAUCUUCAGUACCCUCAUGAGUGACUUCUAAGACUUCCCACAUCUCCUUAGCUGACUUACAUUGGGAUAUCCUGAAGAACUCAUCCAUUGUUAAUGCAGAGGUUAUGAUGUUCUUGGCCACAAGAUCAUGUUGAGUCUUCCUCCUUUUGGUCUCAUUCUAUUCAGAUCUUGGUACACUUGCUGAAAAACCCUAAACCUUUGUGAUUUUCGAAAUCUUUUAAGAACAGAUGUUAAUUCCUUGUAAAUCCUCAAUUCUCUAAUGCAAAACUUGUUUUUACAAUUGUAUGAUCGAUUGUUAAACUCAUAAACAAGUUUUCAUUUUAUAGAAAACCAACUUAUAACAAAUUUUUGAAAAACAGUUAAAGCUGUUAUAAAAUGAACAAAUUGAAAAUAAAAUGAACAGAUUUAUUUUCAGAAAGCUGUUAGAGAAUUUGUUAUGAGAGGAGACUUAGUCAACCAUUCUGGUGCAGGGACAAAACUGAAAACCGUUUAAGAUAGCCAUGGCACCAGAGUCAAAAAGAAUCUAUUCAUUUACAGAUGAACAGAUUUAUUUUUCAAAACGAAAACAGAAAAAGCUUAACUAUUUAAAACUCAAUCGUUUUGAAAGGUAGAAGACUUAGUCAAAAUGCUUGAUGCACAAAAUCUAAUUUUCACAAGACUUAGCCGAGGCAUCAGUUUAAAAAAGAAUUUGUUUAUUUAGAAAAGAACAUAUUUAUUUUUAUGUAGUAAACGUGUUUUUUGUAAAAUAUGUGAAAAAAAAUUUAAGAAACCUUAUGCUUGUUCUUAUCACAUGGCCAGUGGUUAGGAGGUGAGUUACUCAGCAAAAAAACCUACUCUUAAACAACCUCUAAACACGACCUAAGACAUUCUUAAAGCAAAUUUAAAUAUACAUGAAUUGUACACAAAAGUCUUCAUCAAACACAUGUCUUAAAGGGGCAACAACCAUCUUCAACAAUAUAUAGUCCCAACAAGAUGAUGUUUGAAUGUGAAAAAUGUCUCCAUUAAAUGUUUAUGAAUAGUAAUUAUAUUUCACUUUUUUAUUGUUAUCCAAAACAUAUCUUUGCUGUUUCUAUCCAAUAUCAAUUCUAUUUCACGCAACAUCCUUAUUUCUAGGUGGAAGUGUUAAAAGAUGUACUGACACACAAUUGCAACCAUUUCCCAACAUCAAUAAACAGUCAAUAAAAAAAUAAUUAUUUUAACUUUAUUUUUCAACCAUAUUAAAAAAAACAAUCACUUUAUUCACGAAAUUCUCCUGUGAAACUUCUAGAUUGCUUUUUUAAUUUAUGCAUGAAACUUCAUCCCGAAACCACACAUGUCAUUACCAUUUCUUGUUCUCCAUUCAUCAUUCGCCCCAAACAAAAUUGUGAAUCCAAACCUAACUCCAAAUUCUCCAUUCAUCCUUACCUCCCAACAAAAUUUUUGAAACCUAGCUAUGACACAAAACCAGAGUAUCUAAUUGGAAACGAACCUAGAAUAUGACCACAGUGUCAGGCGAGGCAACUCGACGCAAAAUGACAACAAGGCGACUAUUCCAUAACAGUGAGAAACGACAAGGCAAUAGUGAGCGAUGGCGAGAGAGACAAUGAAGCCUUAAGUGAAACACGAAUAAAAAUUGGUACAAAACAAAAUAAAUUUGAAAUUUAACUUGAGACUCGCUAGUUUGACUGGUUCUACCAAUUUUGGCUCGAGUUUGCUGAAAAAUGAGUUUGUUCAUGAGUUGACUUGUGACCCAAAAGUAGAUUUUUAAACUUGGACAAGUUAGCAAGUUGAGUCACGAGUUUGAUAAUCAUGUACUUGUAUUGUUUUCUUACGCUAUGAGUCUUUUACAAGAUUCACCUUUUUUGGAUGACACAUUAACUUUAAAUACAAUCCUUUUAAGGUCAUUACAAUGUUGAACAUGUGAAACUGAGAAACAUAAAGGGAAUCCCUCUAGAUCUUCAAGGCAGUACCAUUACCACCAUCAUUAUGUCACAAGUUGAGCAAUUCAUCUAUUGGAUUUUUAGAUUCUUAUAAAUAUUGUUCAUCAUUCUCUAUCCAAGUCUCUAAUUUACCUUUUAGUUUUAUGACUCAACAUGAGUCAUUUUAUGAGUCAUUUUAUUGACACUAGUCUCAUUUAGGCACCAAGUCAAAUUUUUACUUCUAUGUGGGAAGAUGACUCUAACGUUUUCUCAAAGAAUGUAUAUAAAUCUUUACAUUGAUGAUAUGUUGCUUAUCUACUUUCACAAUUGAUUAGAACCAGAUCAUGAGACAACUAUAACCUAUAACUCACUCCACACUUGUUAAGCAACUAUUUAUUCCAUAUUCUUCUAAUUUGAUAAUAUCACUUUUUAUUCAUCACAAACUAAAAGCAUUGUAAUUGACGUAGAGUCGAUUCAUCCAAUAGAUUAUACUUGGACCCUUUAAGGUAGAUAUCUCAAAUUCACUUAAAAAUGUUACACCAAAAUAAAUGUUAUUGUAAGAGUAUUAACCUAAAAGACAACUUCAAAAUCUACAAACAAACAUAUUACACUAACAUAUGUUCAAUAUCAAAUUACACACUAUAUAAAAAUAAUCAUGUAUAUAUUUAAAUGUAACUAACUUUUAGAAUUAACAAACUUUUAGAAUUAAGAUAAAAAAUUAUCUUGAUGUAAUAAUGAAUGUGCACCUUGACCACUUUCUCAAUUUUUUCUUUUUCAAUAAUUUUAUCUUCAUUCAUUAUAAUAUAAACAAAAUCUCAAAAAUUAUUUUUAAACUUUCAACUAAAAACUUUUAGUUAUAUUUAAAGUAGACAUAAACAAAUAUAUGCACAUGCAAAAAUAAUCUACUACUAGGGAUGACAAAGCAAGGCGGAUCAACCCGUUAAGAAAUAACACAGUGCAGAAGUACCGUUCAAAUAUCUGGGUCUGGAGGUGGGAGGGAACCCAAGAAAGAAGCAAUUCUGAGAACCAGUUAUAAGUAAGUUGAAAGCAAAACUCAGUGUUUGGAAGCGGAGAUUUUUAUCCAUGGCAGGGAGGAUAUGCUUAAUUAAUUCUGUUCUAACCGCAAUUCCUUUGUUUUACCUCUCUCUUUUCAGAGUACCAGCUUCGGUGUGUAAAAGGAUUAUUAGUAUUCAAAGAAGAUUUUUGUGGGGCUGGGGGAAACUAACCAAGCCAAUUGCUUGGGUUAGCUGGAAUGAUGUUUGUAGACCAAAAGAGGAGGGAGGGUUGGGGUGUAGGGAUAUACGCCUGUUUAAUCAAGCUCUACUAGCCAAGUGGAGAUGACAAUGUCUUUCGGAGGAGAAUGGAAGAUGGAAGAUGUUGUUGGAUUCUAAAUACAACCUGGGGGAUGAAAACAGUCAAACACCUGUCAAAUAUCAAUCUUGGUGGUGGAAAGACUAAAGUGUGCAAGGUUGGUGGAGGAAGAUGGUGGUUUCAGGAAGAGCUAGGUUGGGAAGUAGGUUGUGGUGAUAAAGCAAAGUUCUGGGAGGAUGUAUGAAUUGGUAGUGUCGAUCUUUAGUCCUUGUUCCCGCGCUUAUACUCUUUAUCUUUAAACCAAGGUAAAGCAGUGGGGGAGAUGGGUGUAUGGGAUGAUACGGAGUGGAGGUGGGACUUGAGGUGGAGGCGUGACAGAUUUGUAUGGGAAUCUUCUCUGGAGAGGGACCUUACUAUGCUUCUAUCAAGGGUCAUUAUGAGAAAGAAUGUCCAGGAUAUCCAGGUUUGGGGGAAGGAGAUACUGGGGCUGUUUUCGGUGAGCUUGGCGUAUGAGUGUCUAUCUAAGCAUGGUAGAGGGAACAAUGACGAAGUGUUUAAGCUCCUGUGGAAGGUGAAGGCCUUUCCAAAUGUUUUGGUAACAACCUGGAGGGUGUUUAAGGGGAGAAUCCCCACUAGAGUGAGUUUGAGCCAGAGAGGGAUGAUGUUGAACUCAACAGUGUGUCCCUUGUGUUUGCUACAAGAAGAGACCUGUCAACAUCUUUUCAUGGAUUGUAAAUAUGCUCAACAAGUAUGGUCCCAAUGCCUUCAGUGGGUAGGCAUUUCCUUUGUUGAGCAUCAUGAUCUUAAGCGGCAUUUCCUAAGUUUCCACUUGUUUUAAGAUAGUAACAAGCAGAAUAAGAUCUGCAAAGGGGUAUGGGUAUUGUUAUUAGAAGUAUAUGGGACCAAAGGAAUUUGAUUACCUUUCAGCAAGGGGUAGUAGAUGCAGAGGAGAUAUUCUAGAGGGCCCAACUUAAGUCUUGGUUGUGGCUGAAGCAUAAAGCCCGUUCGUUUUCUUACUCUUUUACAGAUUGGGUUUUUAACCCAAUUAUCUGCAUUAAAAGCUGCUAAUGUUUCCUGGUUUUGUGUCUUCUGAAGAAGCUGGUAUUUCUGGUUGGUAUCAUGUGAAGGUUAUGGUUCGGAUGGAACCUGUGAUGGUGAAGGAGUGAAUCCCUUAGGGGUUAGCUGUUGUUACCUGUAUUGGGGUUGGUCUUCAAGCAUUUUUUGCAGGAACACGAAGCAUCUUCAUAAAGGAGUCAUAACACGGGAACAACUGUUUUGUUGUGGCAGGGUGGUCUUCUGCAGUUUCUGGAGUCACGGGGCGUGCUUAGAUCAAGGUUGGAUGCUUUGGAGGGGAGCUGAGGUUGGGUUUGAGCCACGCAUUUCAGGGGGGUAGAGAUAGCUUGGUUGAGGAAUGUGAAGUUGUGGUAAUGACUAACCAAGGCGUUAAGCCGGGUUACGUGUAAAGGUGGACUGGUGGCUGGUUGGCUGGUUGGACUGCUAUAAUACGUAUGUGUAGGGGAGGGUCGGUGAAGGAAUGAAGGUUUCAAGUGGAGAGGGUGUGAUUAGAAGGGUGCCGGUUGGGGAGCAGCUUGGAAAACUGGUGAAGAAUAGGAUUUUGUAGGUGUUGUUGUGCUGUUCUUUGGAGUGCAGUUGGGUUUUGGGUGCUGCUAUUUUUAUUGUUACUAUCAUUUUGGUUCUUUCAUAAGUGUUGGUUUGGGUUUGGCAUUCCCUUUUGUAGGUUUAGGCUUUUUGGUUAUACUUUCUUUUGUGGAAGUGUAACUUUGUGGUUGUAGUAUACGGGUUGGGAUACCCCUUAAGUAUCCCCCUUAAUUUUAUUCAUUUAUUGCUGAUAAAAAAAAAACAAUGCAGGCAUCAUAUUUCAACUUGUUGACUUGCUUAGGUUCACCUCGCAUAACUCGCAGUCCACACGGGCCAACGGGAUAGGCUGACUCAUAACCCACAUAUUCUAAAAAAUUAUAGACUUAUUCAUUCUAAAAUUUAUAAUCUGUAAUACAAAAUUGUAUUAUAAACUGUACAAUCUAGACUAUUGUACAAUCUAUAACUAUAUAUAGCUGCAAGAAGAAACUUUCCUCAAUCCCUAGUUCAUAACACCUUCAUGAAAUUUUAUAAUAGUUUUUUUUUUCCUUUUUAAAAUGCAUAAAUUGUCUAGGUUUCAAUAUUCAAAUGUUAAAUGCACUAGUCAAACUUUAGCCUUUUUAUAAUAAAAUUUAAAUAUAAUAAUAAUAUUAUAUAUAUAUAUAUAUUUUAAAUUAGAAUAGUAAUCAUGUGUCUACCUGUAUUAUCUUUGAAACGUAUAUAUUUAAAAAAAUAUUUAUUAGUCAAUUUAUUAGUAUGAUCAAAAUUCAAACUUCAUUGAAAAUCAAAAUAUUAUUAUAAUUUUUUUAUCCAUAUUUUAUUACAUGUGUCGUGAGAAUAAUACUAUGAAACUAUUAUUACCUAAUUCAUUUAAAUAAGAAAAAAAAAUUAAUAAACAAAACAAAAGUUUAUUAAAAAAUUAUAUUUAAUUUUUUUUCAUUAAUUAAAAAAAAAAUCUUAUGUGGAUCGGCUCGUGGGUUAGCUAGCAUGCGAGGCGGGCCAAUAAAAGCAACUAAUAUAUUUUACACAGGACGAACCAACUUGGCCUGUAUUUUAUGGGCCAAAUGCAAGGCGGACGGACCUGCAUUACCAUUCAUACCCACUACCUUCAGGUUAUCCUAAGGACGAACAACUCUAAUACCAUAAAUGUAACACCCCCAAAUUUAUUGUACACUUAUUACAAAGUUUAUUGUAAUAUAAUUUCAUUAUUAAAAAACUAUAUAAAUCAUACAUGAAUUUAUACAUUAAGGAUAUUUAAUCCAUUUCUGCUCAAGCUAAAAUAUUCCCGCUCAACUUAAAAAAAAAAACUUUUUUUUCUUCUUGUCUCAUCAAUGAAUUUGAUUCUUUAGCAAAAAUAGUGUUAAAACACAAGUUUGAGUGCAUGGUUACUUUCGCUCGAGCAAGAAUUGACUUGUUGGAGAAAAAUAUCAACUAUUGCAAUAAUACAAAGUCAUUUUUAAAGUUGUACCUUAAAACCAAUUCAAACUCAAACAUUAAAAAUAAGUUCAACAACACACAACAUCAAAUAGGGCAUGAAGUGUUCACAUCACUCUUUAGUUUAUUUUAUUAUGCUAAGGAUCUGCCAAAAAUAUAAUUAUUUUUUCUUACGUGAAAUUCCUUAUUUCAAGAAAAAAUCUACCUCAAGCAAAAGAACCACUCAAAAUUUAAAGACCUAAAGCAAAAUAUUCAAACUUAAUUAAAUUUGAAUAAAAGGUUAAUCAAGUUGAUGAUCGCUUUUGGCAACUAAUUUUACCAAGAUGGAUGACAUAAUUAUAAGAAAAUAAAAAAUAAAGAAUAUUCAGGGUAAAUAAGAACUUAUCUUGUUUUGAAAAUCUAAUUAGAUAAAAAUAAUUUCUAAAUCUUUAGCUAUUGUAGGGUGUGAUCAAAAUUUAAAAUAAAUGAAGUGUGAAAAGCAGAAAAGUAGAAUGAAAGGUCAUGAAAAUGGCCAAUUGCAGUAAAAGAGAGUGUCAAAACAAGAAUCGUGAAUACAGAGAAGUUCAGAGAAAAAAUGAGGAGAAGCUUUGAGAGAGAGAAAAGAUGAGUGAAAGAGGGUUUCAUUAAUCAAUCUAUGAAAAUGUACAGUGUCAUGUGUUUUUACAAAAGGUAAAAGAAUAGGCAAUUUCUUCUUGCACCCCUACGUUUUUCUUCCUGCACCCCCACAAUGUAAUGUAAAGACAAAAAUAUCCCUAUUAUUUUUUAAAAAUUCCAAAAUACACAUAAGACCCACAAUACUCUUUCUUCUUCCGGACAAUGCAAUUUGGUAAUUUUAUGGAAUAGGAAAUCCGCAUUUAUUUUUUUGCAUUUUGAAUUGGGAAAUCCAUAAAUCUUCCGAAUUGGUGAAUCUGGUAAUCUUCCGGAUUGGUGAAUCCGGUAAUCUUCCGGAUCCAUCAAUCCGUAACAAAAAUUAGACUUCUGGAUUCAGUAAUCCAGAAAUCAACAAGUUGCUUUUGAAACACCCCUUUAUUUGAAAAAGAACACGAAUCACUUCUGGAUUGAUGAAUCCGUAGCACACUCCCGGAUCCCAAUAUCUGGUAACCUAAAAAACUCUAGUUUUUUUAAAAUAAAAGGUGAAGGUCAGUUUUGGGAUUUACAAAAUUUUGGGGGUGCAGGAAAAAAAUGUAGGGGUGUAGGAAGAAGAAGCCAAAAGAAUAUAGGCGGGUGUUUCUUCCUGCACCCCCACAGUCUUGUGCAAAGACAAAAUUGCCCUUUAAAAUUUUUGAAAUUACAAAAUUACCCUUGAUGUAAUAAAACCCUAAAAAGUUAAAAUGAUGGUCAUUUGUGCGUGGUGGCCGGCCGUCUUCUUCGAUAGCACAGGUCUUCUUCAGCAGCAAUCUCUUGCAAUAGCUUCUUCUUCCAAAUCUCAUCCAUCUCUCAUUCAUAAAGGUACAUUCAUGUGUUUCGGAUUUUGGUAUCCGUUUUUUUCAUGGAUUGUUGUUUCCGUAAAUAUUAUUUCACAUUCCAAAUCACAGAAUCCGGUAAGUUUUCGAAUUUGGGGAUCCGGUAGUUUCCCGGAUUUGUGGAUCCGUUAGUUUCCUGGAUGUAAGGAUCAGGUAGUAUUCCGGAUUUAGGAAUCCGGUAGUGUUCUGGAUUUAGGUGAAGUUUAACACCCUUUUUUCUUUCAUUUUCACCCAUGUCACUCCUUAGUACUAAUUCUUCAAGCUGUAAGAGAGGCAUCCACUAGUCUUGGAGUUGAAAUUAGUAAAGUCUUGUAGUUAUUGUUAUAACAUCUUUACCAUAUAUGCUUAUUCCUUGUAUAUUUUUCUCUGGUUAGUUUGAAGUUUUAAUAUUUAUUUCACUUUCCAGUUUUUAUAUUCCUUUCAAGGAAGUCAUGACUCGCAAACUCAUUAGUAAUCACAAUGUCGGUAAUGCAAGUAAAGCAUUCCGGAUUCAUGAAUCCAUAACACAAAAUACUGUACCGGAUCAACCCAUCCGUAAUGAAAUUUUAGCUUCCAGAUUCACAAAUCCGGAGAACAACAUAUUAUUGCAUUUUACUUCUGGAACACCCCCUCAUCCGGAACACAUUAUUUCAUUUAUUCCGGAUUCAUGAAUCCGGAAGGUAUUACCGGAUUCCGAUAUCCGGUAAUCCCGAAAUUUCCAUAACCACCGUGUUUCUUAAAAAAAACCUUUACUCUUACCUCUAUAACCCAGACAACAGUUCGGCAACGUUGUGUACUCCUCCGCCUUUCUUCCAACAAUUAUGAAGAACCUCCGCAACACUUGAAACCCAAGGAUGAAGAUGAGCAGUGACUGUGGAAGUGCUGAACGUUGCCCUUUUCAAAUUUUUGCUCAAGGUUAAUGUUGGAAUAUUGAAAAUUGUGGGGGUGCAGGAAGAAAAACGUGGGGGUGCAGGAAGAACAAGCCAAUAUAGGCACUAGUAAGAGCCCAAAAACCCACAAAGAGCCCAAAAACAGAAAAGAGAAAAAAUAGAAUAGCUGCAGUAACAGAAUAAUAUUCUAAUACAAAUACACUAACAGAAUGAUAUUUUAACAAAAGGAAAGAAAGUGAAGGCAGAAAAAAUUACAAUUAUUCUCAACAACAACAAAAUUGUAUCAUUCAGAAAUUAUAUUAUUUACAAAAAAUAUUAAAAUAUAAUUUCUUAUCUUUUUUUUUUCAUCUCUGAAUUGGAAUUAUGUAUAUGAAAUCUUAAAAAAACGACUAUAUUUAUAUUUUUAUCAUGAAAUUGCUUUAUUUGAAAAUCUAAAAUUUUAACAGACUUUUCUAAAAAUAUAUAUUUUCUUUUACUUACACUGAAUUAUAUUCUAAAUUAUAAUUGAAUUGUGUAUAUAUUUUUGUAGUUGCAAUAAAUAAAAAAUAUUAUAAUAGAAGAGAUCAAACAAAUUCUUAUUAAUUUUUAUGUAUUUGAAAUUAUUCUCUUGAAAAUAUGAUAACGACCUAUAAUUUAUGAGUCAAAUUUUUAUAUUAAAUCGUCUUUUUUACACUCUAAGAAAAACAUACUUACUAAAGUAUGAAUUUAAAGUUGUUCUUAUUUCAUCUGUAUAAAAUUGUUGCCGACUAAAACUGUUUUGAAAAUUGGAUUUACAAUUGAUAAUAACAGAUGAAAAAUACCUUAAAUUAAUAUACAGUAUAUUUAUUAAAAGAUCACCAUUAUUUAAUAAUAAAAAUUAUUUGUUUUUGAAAUAUAAAAAAAUCGAUGGAACUUAUAAUAUAUAACUAUUUAUAUUAAAAGUUCUUUUUAUGUAAAUUAUUUUUAUAAUUUAUGCUAUUAAUUAUUGGUGAGAUCAUAGUCUCUUUCCCUUAAAAAAAAUAAAAAUAAAACAUUAAGUGUGGAUGACAAUAACUUUUGUCCAGCUACAUUAUAUAAUAUUAAUAUUACCCAUCGCAUAUAACUUUAGUUUUAUUAUUCAAACUAUUUAUUUAUGACUUAAUUUAAAUAAACAUCCUCAUGAAAUUUCCCGCUAAGUGAGUUGGCGCCCAAAAUCCUCUCUUAUAUAUAAAGACAGUAACAGUGAACCAAAGAAACACAACAAAACUCUAAGUGAGUUGGCGCCCAAAAUCCUCUCUUAUAUAUAAAGACAGUAACAGUGAACAAAGAAACACAAUUUCUAGCCAUUCCAACUCUCCAAUUUCAAGCGUCAAAUGUACUCUUCUCUCUUCUGUAACUUACCAUCUUUUUGGAAAUCUCCAGAGUUGAAACCAAAUCCUACAGCGUGAAACUGAAACCCCGAUUGAAAUAUUAUGUUUUGGUCAAUAUCCAAGAUCAGUUUGUUGGUAUUGCUUUGAUGAUUCUCAAUAAGGUUUUGUGGAAUUACAUGAUGUUUGCGUCGUGGGAUAGAAGAGUUAUUAAGAAUUAUUAGUAAGUGAUCAAUGUGCUUUUAUCGGAUUGUGAUUCAUUUACGCCGAAUGUGAUUCUUUGUGAUGAUGGCGAGUUUUAAAUCUUUUUUGUCUAUGGAUGAAAUGAAAAACAUAAUAGUUCAGAAAGGCCAAUUGAUCCAGGUGUUGCAUAGCAUUGAGCCUGGUAUGACUUUCUCUUUGGCUUUUCAUUCUUGAAUUUAUGGAUUCAUCUUCUCUAGUUUCUAUAGCUUCUAUUAAGAGCGCCUAGUAGGACUUUCUCUAUUGGCUUUUCUUUCUUGAAUUCAUCUUGUCUAGUUUCUAUAACUUCUAUUAAGGGUGUCAAUGGUUUUCUUUAAUUCUUGGGCUUUACAACUAACACAACCAAUGAAUCAUUUGAAGGUAUUUGAGUAAUUUUGGACUUUGUCACCAACCAUAUGGGUUGAACUGUGAACUGGUUUCUCUACUGUAAUAUUUGGAAGUGUUUCUUGGAAUCUUUCCGUGUUGUGUCGAGCCUAUGAGCGGCUCCCUUGGUUUUGAAAUUUUGAAUUUACCUUAACCUUUCUAUACUAUGUCAUAUCAUCUCUUUAAAAGAGGUUAGCUUUCUCGAAUCCCCAUGAUUCUUGUUCGGCUUUUAUUGGAAGGCAAUAUAAAUGUGGGCUGGUAUCAGAAACAGUGAAUGGCGGUCCAGUGAAACUUUAGGUUUUAUUAUCUUUGCGGUUAUUCUUUUGGCUAAACUUGAGGAGUGGGGUUCUUGUAGACAGGCACUAUAUGACUAUGAGAGGCUUUGACAUUUGUGUUUGUGUCUUCGACUUUGAUUAUCUUCUUCUACAUGUUGCAGUGACUUUCUACAUGUUGCACUGACUUACUAUGGAUGUCUGUUGGAUUGUGGAGGCAAUUGCCGUAGAUUAUUGGACUUGUGAAGCUUUAGGUUUUAUUAUGUUUCCAUUCACUAUCUUAUGUGCUUGAUUUGAAAUGGCUAUAUUCUCUCUUAUUGGUUGAAUAGUAGGAAGCUACACGUGUCAGUCACUGUGUGUCUAAGCUAGGGCGAUUCUUAAUUAUGCUUAUCCUUUAUCUCAUGAUCCCAACUAUCUUCCAAAAUGAGAAUGUUCUCCAUAAUGACAGUAAUAUUUAGUUAUAUUUCCAAUAUGAGAAUGAAAAACUAUCUCUCAAGGCUAUGAGUGACCUAUUCCAAAAGGAAAGCUCCAACAUGAGAGCUCUAUUUACUUCUUUCGGGUUGGGGUCUCAGUAUUUGUGAUAGGAUAUGGAAGCAGACUGUAUCUUAUUUCUAACUAUAUUUCUCAAUCUUAGUCCCUUGCUGAUUUUGGUCUUUAUUAUUUAAUGUUUUUGGACUUGAUCACCUAACAUAUGGGCUGAACUGUUGUUUAUCUACAAUAGUAUUUCAAAGUGUUUUUGUNNNNNNNNNNNNNNNNNNNNNNNNNNNNNNNNNNNNNNNNNNNNNNNNNNNNNNNNNNNNNNNNNNNNNNNNNNNNNNNNNNNNNNNNNNNNNNNNNNNNUUGAUAUUUGUGAAUUUUCUUAUUGUUUCUGUACUUUGUCAUGUCAUCUUUUUAAGAAGAUUAGUUUUCUCAAAUUGCCACGAGUCUUCUUGAGCUUUGCCACCAGUUAAACUUUAGGUUUUAUUAACUUUGCAUUUAUGAUGCUGAUAAAAAACAUCUUUGCAUUCAUUAUUUUCUUUGCUGUUAUUCUUUUUGCUACUCUUGUGGAGUCGGAGUUCUUGUAAUUGGGCCUUUGACUUUGAUGAUUUGAUUAUCUUCUACUUGUGUUGUACUGAACUUUGAGCUUUGCCAUGAGACUUCUUGAGCUUUGCCAUGAGUCUUCGUGAGCUGCCAUGAGUCUUUGUGAGCUGCCAUGAGUCUUCUUGUGCUUUGCCAUGAGUCUUUGUGAGCUGCCAUGAGUCUUUGUGAGCUGCCAUGAGUCUUCUUGAGCUUUGCCAUGAGUCUUCUUGUGCUUUGCCAUGAGUCUUCUUGAGCUUUGCCAUGAGUCUUCUUCAGCUUUGCCAUGAGACUUCUUGAGCUUCGUCACGAGACUUCUUGAGCUUUGCCAUGAGUCUUCGUGAGCUUUGCCAUGAGUCUUCUUGAGCUUUGCCAUGAAUCUUCUUGAGCUUUUACAUGAAGGAUGUAGGGUUCAGGUUUUGGAAACAGUGGAUGGAGAUACAGUUAAAGUUUAGGUUUUAUUAUCUUUGCAUUCAUUAUUUUCGUUGUUGUUAUUCUUUUUGCUACUCUUGUGGAGUGGGAGUUCUUGUAAUUGGGCCUUUGACUUUGAUGAUUUGAUUAUCUUCUACUUGUGUUGUAGUGAACUUUGAGCUUUGCCAUGAUUCUUCUUGAGCUUUGCCAUGAGACUUGUUGAGCUUUGCAAUGAGACUUGUUGAGCUUUUACAUGAAGGAUGUAGGGGUCAGGUUUUGGAAACAGCGGAUGGAGAUACAGUUAAAGUUUAGGUUUUAUUAUCUUUACAUUUAUUAUGCUGAUAAAAAAAAAAUUGCAUUCAUUAUUUUCUUUGCUGUUAUUCUUUUUGCUACUCUUGUGGAGCGGGAGUUCUUGUAAUUGGGCCUUUGACUUUGAUGAUCUGAUUAUCUUUUUCUAUUUGUGUUGGAAUGAACACUUACCAUGGAUGUUUGUUGGACAUAUUGUGAAGCUUCAGGUUUUAUUACUUUUCUACUCACUAUUUUUCUUAUUUGCUCGAUUUGGAAUGUCUACAGUUUCUCUUAUUGGCUGGAUAGUUGGAAGGUAUUUCAUUGUAUGUAUCUAAGCAAGAGUGAUGCGUCUAGGUCCUCCAUCAUCUACCGUUAUUGAUUAUAGUUUUCUUGAAUUCAUUGGCCUUACAGGAAAGCUAAGCAAUGAAGUGUGGUGUAGGAUGUAAAAAUGGUGGGUCGAAAUUCUGUGGUGAAGCUAAAUGUUUCUUUCACCAGGACAUUGUUGUGUUCAACUGAUUUAAUUUUUAACUGGCUCAACUUGUCGGUUUGAUUAUAAUCUUGUUUGUAACUUGUUGGUUUGAUUAUAAUCUUGGUUGUAUUUUGAUAAUGUAUGUUUCUAAGAGGCAUUGUGGGAUGAGAAUGAGACAAGUACAGUUGAACUUUACUCUUUGAUUUGAUGGUUUGCUUCUUGGUUUGAAAAGUUCUACUAUUUAAUUUUGAUGACUUCUCUGCAUAAUUCUAUAAUAUAGGUCUUUUGUUCUAUAUAGGUCUUUUGUUCUUUUAAUAAUUUUCCAAAACCUUUCGAUUCAUUAUUCUUGAUCCCGAACAUAUGGGUUGAGUUGUGAACUUCUUUGGACUUUUUGCAUGUAACUCUUACGCUGAAAUUAGUAUAAGAAUGAUCCUGAAAUUGAAAUUGUUUAAAUGCUUCACUUUUGUUUCAACAAUCUCCAUAUGUGUUUCUCGUUCCUUGAGUUUUGAAAUUUGCAUUUAUUUGUUUGCAACACAUUGAGUCUUUAUCUGAGGUUUCUCUUUCAGUUGAUUAACUCAACCAGUGAUGGAAUAUAGUGGGACGACUAACAUGUCUAUUCAAGCAGUUAUAGAUUUUUUUUCUUUUUUUUCCUUUAUUGUUUAUUGAGUUGAGUGUUUUCAAAAUAUUUCUGUAGCCACUUGGGAUUGAAAGUCCAACGUUAUGCCUGACAUUGGAUAAUUGGACUUCUUUUAUUAGUUUUCCAAACCGUUCAUUUUUUUCAUAUUUGUUCUAUUUGGACAGGAAUUGUAGGUGAGAAAGAUAAUGGAGUUUUGGAGGUGAAUUUGUUUAAUAUUUGUUCUAUUUGGACAGGAAUUGUAUGUGAAAAAGAUAAUGAAGUUUUGGAGGUGAAUUUGUUAAUUCCAGUGAAAACGACGAAGAACUCUUGAUAAAGUAAUUUUCUUUGUUAUUAUAUUUCUCUACCCAAUCCAGGUGUUGCAUUAAUCCCUUUGCAGCAUACAGAACUGUAACCGAUCUUAAGUUUGUAUGCAACGAUGUUUUUGGAAAUUUUGUGUCACAAACUUAUUAUUAGGAGACUACGACUUCCUUGGUUUUAUCUGAUCAUUCUGGACUUGCUAUCUUCUUCUGUGGGUUUUGGUUAGGUUUCAAUUUUCAGUAAUGUCUGGUAUGUUGACAGUAUUGGAUUUCCUUGUUUGCAUUUCAAAAACUGAACCAAUCUCAAGGCAUUACGCUUCUAUAGUUGGAGUAGUAUGAGACAACUUUGUUUCUCUGAAAUUUAGAGAGUCUCUUUAAUAUUGCAUGGUAAUUUUUUUAUACGAUGUACAAGUAUAUCCAGUUUUAUUUGGAUAUUUUUUAGCAACAAUGCUUUUGGAAUAGGAUUUGUUUGAGCGCUACCAUGAGAAAGUUCAAUUUGAAACGACAACCACUCAUAAUAGCCUAAUUUCUUCUAUAUGAGGUUUCCCCUUUUAUUUAACUUCUAAGGAAUUGAUUACCAACAUUAGGAUUGAAUUGUGAUUUGUUUUUCUACAGUGGUUUAUGAUUGUAUUCAAACAAUGUUUGGAUCUCAUCGAACCUUUAAUGAGUUGAUUUCUGAGUUUAAGAAUUCGUCUAAUAUUUUCUAAAAUUCCUCCCAUGGAACAAGUGUUUUAAGUUUUCUUGAAUUUUUUCUAUUUACCGGUAAGACAAGCAAUGGAUGUGUGAGGACAUGUAGAAACAUGCGGAUCAAUUAAAGCCUUAGUUUGUGUUAAUUCGUGACUAGCUAUUUGAAUGCAGUUUUUUAUGUGGUGACAAAGAUCUAUCAAAAUAAAAAAAUUGGUUUAGGAUUUCCUCUCUAUUUGAUAUUUUCAGAUUUGAUCACCAAAUAUAAGGAUUUUCCGUUACCAUUUGUUUUUCUGCAGUGAUGUUUGCAUUAUGUUUCAUGCUACGUCUAAUGGAUCAUGUUGUCUGGAAGGUUUUAUGGCUCUUGGUAACAGGCUUUACAAGUGCUUCAGAGGAUCAGUAGUUUCAGAGCUGAUACCUAUUAUCAUAAUUGUGUCUCGCAGUGUGAAUUGUUCAAGUUUAUUUAUUUGCAAAAGGGAUCAGUUCUCCAAUAAUUUUUGCAGAAGAUUGGAUGGCUAACAUUAUUGUUCGUUCAUUUGAUCCAGUAAGAGCUCAUUCUAGAAAUGUGGACUUCUCUUUAAAAGCCUUUAGUAUGUUUACUAUCUUCAAAAGAUAUUUUUUCUGGAUCUAUUGUUUUGACAGAGCAGGUCUUCGAGGAAGUCACGGGUCUCUUAGAUUUGGAAUUGUUCAAGUACCAUCAACAUGAUUUCAUGAUCUCUUAUGAUUUCCCCUGAAUUUUUGGUUGUUGUUUUGACAGGGUAGGGUUUGGGUAGAGUUUGGGUUUUUGGAUUAGGAAUUGUCCAACUACCAACAAUGUGUAAACCCUAAACCCUAAACCCUAAAUAUAUAUAUAUAUAUAUAUUUUUGCUAGUUUUAUUUUUCAUUGAAUUACUUAAUUGCUUUAUUAAUAUGAUCAUUUGAUUAUAAAAUUAUUCUUGGUAGUUAUAUAAUUAUUCAUGGUUGUUUUAUUACCUUUAAUAGUUAUUGUUGUUGGAAAAGUAAUCUAGAAGUCCUUUGUUGGCUAAUGAUUCUCUAACAUUUUUUUUUUAAAUUUCAUAGUAGUUGUAUUUUGCUUUGACAAUUUAGUUUAGUUUUUUUAUUGAUUCCUGCAUCGACAAAUGAAUUUUGAACUUGUUCUUGCAUAAUUUAUCAUGGGAUAAAAUGAAUUGGUGGUGUAGGUUUGGAAAACAGUGGAUCUGGACCCUGUGGAACUUUGGUUUUAUUCUGUGUUUAUUAUUUUCUUUGAUGCUAUUAUGCACGGAUAAACUUGUGGACUGGGAAUGCUUACCUCUUUAUGACAGGCAUUGUAAACGUCUGUGUCAGCCAUUUAAUUUUCUCUUUCUAGUUCACACUCAGACAUUUCUUUCAGCAACUGAGUCAUUUAAUCGCAAAGAGAGUUUUGUUUCCUUUCAUGUUCUUUGUUGUCAAUACAACCUUUGUUUCUUUCUUAUCAGCUAUAGUAUUUAAUUCAAUGCGAUCUCAGGAUGUGUUACUUGGAAGUGAUGUGGUUAUUCAUUCGAGGAUUGAUGUGUUAUUUGGAAGUGAGGUGAGGCUAUCUGAAUACCGGAAGGAGAUCCAUUCUCUUUGAUGACAGAUGCCUACUUGAGUUUGGAUGUAGUUAUUUAUUUGAUGACAGAGAUCUAUCAUAUGUAACUUUCUGUUAGUUCCUUUUCAACAGGGGAUUCUGGUUGAGGAUUAAAAAACAUAAAUUUGAAUAUUGUUUUUGUCUAAUUAUUGAAAUAUGACAAAUCUAGCGGUUUGAUAUGUGAAUAUGUUGAUUCUUUUUCAGCAAAUCAUAGGUUAGUAACAAUAAAAUGCUCAGGGAAGAUGUCUCCCCUCUAUUUGAAACUUUGUGGAUUGAGCGUAUUUUUCCAGACUGAUAUGUGAGGUAGGAUGUGGAAACACUUACCAGGACAUUUGUGAAGCUUUAGGUUUUGUUACCCUUACCAUUCUUGUGUCUUUAUUUGUGACUGACUAAACUUCUUGUUUGGAUUCUAAGUUUUGGUUGGAUUCAUUGCUAACCUUGUAGUUUGACUGGCAGUCUGGCAAUUCUUGUGGGUUUAGAGGUCGUGUAAUUUGGGGAGGACUUGUCUGGCAGAAUUUUUAACUACUUAUAUGAAGUACUGAAUUAAUAGUGAAAAAAAGAUAAAAAAAAUAUAUCAUGGCUAUUAAAAGUUUAUGUUUCUUGUCCUGUUCAGCCAUGACACUUGUGUGAACACUUGCUUCUUUCUCUAUUGCCCCAUAUGCAUUUUUUUCACAAUUUUUACUCUUUUUUAAGUUAUCCAUUUCUAAGUAAUUUAGGCUUCUCGUAGCUUUUACCAGUCCUGGAUUCAUAGUGAAAUUUGAACCUUUUACAUGGUGCAAUUGAAAUUAAGGAGUGAAUUAUUGAUCUUUAGUUUUACAGUACUGAAUUAAUUUUGGAUUUGCUUUGGUGUAGCAAAUUUGAAAGGUCAUUUUCUUAGUUAUUACUUCAUUUACUAAAUAAUCAAGAGCAUUGGACAAUUUGAUUUUGUAGUGUUUUGUUUGCUGCAUUGACAAAUGAAUCUUGCAUUGUAUUGUUUUUAAUAGUUCUGGAUUACAUUCUGAAUAUGACAUAUGAUGAUCUCUUCUAUCUUCCAAUAUGAGAAUGAUCUGCAACAUUAGAGUUGUAUUUAGUUCUAUCUCCAAAGGGAGAAUGAGAAAUUGAGAGCUCUAUUUAGUUUUAUCUCCAAUUAUCUCUAAUAUGAGAAUGAGAAACAACAGUAGUUGGAAUGUUUUCUGGCAAUCUUCCUGUGCUAUGAUUCAGUUCUCUCUCCAUAUAUGAGAAUAAGAAAAUGAGAAAGAGAAACAAGAUUAUUUGGAAUGUUUUUUGUCGUAAUCUUCUUGCACUAUGAUUCGGUUCUCUCCCAAUAUGCGAAUGAGAAACAACAAUAUUUGGAAAGUUGUCAUAAUCUUCUUGCGUUAUAUGAUUCGGUUCUGUCCCCAAUAUGCGAAUGAGAAGAUGAGAAACAACAGUAUAUGAGAGCUCCAUUUAGUUCUAUCUCCAAAUGAGAAACAACAGUACAUGAGAGUUCUAUUUAGUUUUAUCUCUAAUAUGAUAAAGAAGCGAAACAAAAGUAUUUGGAUUGUUCUCUUUGUAAUCUUCGUGUGCUAUGAGCAACGCCUCCCCUCGAGGCUAUGGUAACGGGUGAUGCCUCUCUAUUCCAACAUGAGAUCUCUAUAUAUUAUGUGGAAGCAGACACCAUCUUUUUGUCGUCUAUAUUUCUCAGCUCUUGCUGAUUUUGCCGUGCUGUUUUCUUGAUUUACCAUGCUUUUUUUUAUCAGCAAAGAAUGAAAUUAAAUUAAGAGGGAUACAAAAGGGGUAUCUCAACUCUUUUACAUAAACCAAACCACAUUAAGAAUCUCCAAGAAUAAAGAGAUGAAUAAACACCACAGAAGCAAUAGAUAGAUAAUGUUUGUUGCAUAAGUUAAACAUCCUAUUUCAGCUAGCACCGUGCUUGUAUUGGAAUGCUAUAAGCACUGCAAACUGCAGCUACAAAACCAUCAAAAUACACCAAAAUUGGUUGUCUCCACCACCUCAUUGACAUUCCUUCUACCCAACUUGCAGUGGCACGAUUGUAGCACUUGUCACAGAAUUAAUCACUUCAAUGCAGCAUCUUCCAUUCACUCCUUUUUGGACUUUGGCUUCUCCUUGUUUGCUCCUUUCAAGCUCACUUUUAACAGAAACCAAGUUCCUACUUGCCAAGGUCUAUCUCGCACUUAGAUUGGUUGGAGUUUACAACUUCGAGUUACAUCCCCCAACAUGUCUGAAUCCCCACCACAACCUCUACUGCUACCAUCUACAUGUGAGACCACUAGUUGAUCAGCAAACACACUUAGGGAUUUCCACAACAACCAAAACACCACAUAAAAAAACACAGUUUUUGUUUCCUGCAUAAAGAACCCUGAACCAGCAUACACCUUGCCUCUAUUGGUCUGUUAUAAGACACAUCAAAACAGAAUCUUUCAUCAUGUCCUUAACAUUCCUUUUGACUCCCUUGCAUACAAGCACAUAUGUCCUUUCCAUCUUGCACUAGCUGCAGGCCGUGACAAACCCACCAACACCUCCAACCAACUAUAAAUCCAGUAUAGGUCGUAGUCUUAAAACUCUUGGCACCUGGGAGUACUAAUUAUAACUUCUAAUGCAAAGCAUUGGAUUAAGAAUCCAGUCUACGAAAGAAUAAGUAAAGAAAUGCACCUUGUGUUUCAUCCAAAGCCAGGAUUUGAGUUGAGCCUUCUGAAACACCUCCUCCGCAUCUACUAGCCCUUUUUUGAAUACAAUCAGGUUCCUUUGGUCCCAGAUACACCUAAUAACAGAUGCCCAAACACCUUUCCAUACCAGGUUUUGCUUCUUACUAGCAUUGCUCAGAUAAAAACUCAUAAAGUGCAUAAUUAAAUCAUUUUGUUGAACAGAAGAGAUACCUAUCCAUUUGAAGCACAAGGACCAUACCCAUUGUGCGUAUUUACACUCCAAGAAGAUAUGUUGACAAGACUCCUCCUUAAGCUGACACAUUGCACAUAACGUAGAUUCCAUCAUUACCCCUCUCCUACUCAAACUCACCCUUGUUGGGAUUCUAUCCAACAACACUCUCCAAGCUGUCACGAUCACAUUUGGGAAUGCCUUAGUCUUCCAAAGGAGAUUAAACACAUCGGAUUGGGUUCCACGAGACUGCUUGGCAAGGCACUCAUAAGCAGAAUUCACAGAAAAAAAAGGGCUGGUUCUUCCUUCCCCCACACCUGCACAUCCACGUCAUUCCUUCUCAUUAGUGCCCCUGAUAACAGUGUAAAGAGGUCUGCUUCCAGUGAUGAUUCCCACUCAAAUCUGGCACGCCUCCAUGUCAGCCUCCAUCUCCAAUCCGAAUUAAUCCACACGCCAACUUCACCCACCGUUUGCCCCUGUUUUAAGGAUAGGGAGAACAGUCUUGGAAACAAGGAUUUGAGAUCAGAGCUCCCAACCCACACCUCCUCCCAUAACUUUACUUUGUCUCCACACCCUAGUUUUCAGCUUAGUUCUUCUUGAAACCAUCAUUUUCCUCCUCCCUCCUUGCACACUUUAAAGAGAUCUUUCCACCACCAAGAUUUUCAGCUUAGUUCUUCUUGAAACCAUCAUUAGUCCAAUUUUAAUACAUGAUAUGACAAAUGGAUUGAAUUAUGAUAUUGUCUCCUUGAAGCUUGAAUUUAUGAUCGUGUCUCUGUGCGCUGUGAUCUUAGUCACAUUGGUGGUAUAGACAAAUUGAAAAGAAGGAUCUUGGAGUCAUUCCUUUCAUUUUAGUAGUGGUAAUUACCAAGAGCUCAAGACUAUUUGACUUCAAUUUUUUCAUUACAAAACUUUAUUUUGUCUUUAUUAGUUUCUUUCAUUGAGAAAUGAAUUUUGAACUUGGGUUCUUGCAAAGCAUCAAUGUUCUUGCCUAAUUUGUGUUGCAAGAUUAUUGAUCUUUUGUAUUGGAGUUCCAAAAAUUAUAGUCUACUCAAGACUAAUUUCAUGAGUCUUGACUUUGCUAUUCUUAUUCGGAAGGUUUGUACUAUGUAUGUUUUGUCUUUUCUGAUUUAAAGUGUUUUUCCUUGUUUUUAUUUGUGUGGUUCAGACUGAAUAAAUGAGAUACCGAUUUUCUUGUUCUCCUCAUGUUACAUCAACCAUUUUAUUGCUACUUUUAUUCAUUUGCAAAGGCUCAGGAUAAUAUUAUUUCUUCAGAUUUCUAUGUACUUGAUAGUAAAUUUUUAGGUGUUGCAUAGCGCCUGGUAUGACUUUCUCUAUUGGUUUUUCAUUCUUGAAUUUAUGAAUUCAUCUUGUCUAGAUUCUAUACUUCUAUUAAGAGGACCUGGUAUGACUUUCUCUAUUCCUAACAAAAAAAACUUUUGUCCUCAAAAUUACCUAAAAAAAUAAUUAGGAUAUGAUUCACUUGUCUUCUUUUUCAUCUCCCGCAUAUAAGAUCUCACAACACUUUGACCUUUCACAACACUUUGGCCUUGUUUACACUUUCAUUUCAAAAGAUGGAUUUUCUCUUACAUGAAUUAAAUCAAAUUUUGUGUGACUAACUUUCCUUUUGUUGUAUACCAAGUUAACCAUCCAAUCUAUUUUUCCUCAAUCUUAAACACACAAUUUAGGUUAGUCUUAUGUUUUUCAAGCUUCUAGAAUAAUAUUUUUGCAUAAAGGUUAUUGUCAAAAAUGUCUAAGACGAUGUUGAUGUAAUCAAACUUCACGAUCCAUGACUUGACUUGUUAUAAGAACUAUAUAAACAUAUGCAUGAUAUAAAUCAAUAUCAAUAUAGAAAUCUUUCCAUGUUUAUUGGAAAGAUUACCUUUAAUUUUUAAUGGACAUGAUAUGAUACUAACCUUUCUAACUCAUUUUGUUUUUUUUUAACAAUAUUCUUAAAUUCAAAAAAAUGUGUAAUUAUAUUACUCACCUAACUCUAACUCAUUUUGUUUUUUUCUUAACAAUAUUCUCAAAUUAAAAAAGUGUGCAAUUAUAUUACUCACCUAACUGUUGCGUCUCAAAAAAUGUAUUGUAUGUUUCAACACUAGAAUAUUAAUUGUAAAAUUGACUUGCAAUGCGACCAAGUUUGGUAAAAUAAAAGUUAUUUUUUUCAUUGAAAUGCAUCAUUUUUUUCCAACACUAGUCUUUUUAGGACUAAAAGUAGGAUUUGCCAUUGCUUCAUUUCUCCAAAGGAUUCAUCCUCAUCUUUAUAAAAAGAUAAAUAUACUCCAAUCAAGCGUAAACUUCUUUAACAUUAGUUACAUACCUCUUUCACCACUUUUAUCAAACUAAUGUCUUCUUUUUGGUCAAUUAUCCACAUAACAUCAAGCAUACCAUUCAUUUUCAUAUAAAAAUAUUUAGUUUUAUUUGUUUUUAAUAGGUUUAAAUAUUUUUAAAAUUUGAAUCAACCAAUUGCUUCUCUUUCACUUCUUUUAGAAACUUGUUAAGCAUAUGACAAAUAAUAUGAGUUGAAGAUAUAGGAAUUUCUAAAUCCUACAUUCUAAAUUCUAAAUCUUUAAUCAUAGGUGUUGACACUUGUGUCUUCUCAUGAAUUGAAGCAUAUGUAGCAACAUUUCCUAUCUUAGGAUGGUACCUCAACAAAAAAUUGUAAUCUUUCAAAAACUCCAUCAAUUUUCUAUUAUCUACUUUCGUUAUUUGUAGGAUAGGAAACUAAUUGUAUAAUAACACUAUUUCAUUUCGACUUAGCCACGUUCAACUAUUGUAAUUUUCUCCUAAGUCUUUGAAGUUUCACUUCAUGAUAGUAAAAAAUAUAUUUAACCACGUCUCUUUUUAUGUUCAACUAUUAAAAAACUUGUGUAGUACUGAUAUAUAUUAGUUGUGUCUAAUGCAAAUAUAUUUAUUUUAUAAUUUUUAUACUAUAUCAUUUUCUCCAACUUAUUAUUUGUCGAUACACAAACUUUAUCUUGAACCUCAGAAUUUCAUUUACUUUCAUUACGAGAUCCUUAGCUGUUUUUGUACUUAACACUUAAUUAACUUAAGUUUUCGACCAUCACAAUCAACCAAGAUUAUCGAACUUGAUAGUUUAGUAAACUUGUGAAAGGCUUGUAAACUCAACUUGUAGACUCGUAAGAGUCUUGUUCAUAUAAAAUAUUGACAAAAAAAUAUUUAUGAUACCAAUUUCACAUUAUUAAAAUAAAAAAAUUCAUACAACAACAAAUUUAUUAAGACUUUGACUUCUUUUGUUACUGAAACACAAGGUUCAAAAUCAUAUAUCUUCAAAAUCAUAUAUCUUCCCAACAAAAUGAUGUUUGAAUGUGAAAAAUGUCUCCAUUAAAUAAUAAUUAUAUUUCACUUUUUUAUUGUUAUCUAAAACAUAUCUUCGGUGUUUCCAUCCAAUUUACGCAACAUUUUUAUUUCUAGAUGGAAGUGAUAAAGAUGUACCGACACACACUACCAAUUGCAACCAUUUCCCAACAUAAUAAUUAUUUUAACUUUAUUUUUUAACCACACUAAAAAAGACAAAAUCUUGAUAAAAAAUUAAACUAAUUUUUAGAAUUAAGAUAAAAAAUUAUCUUGAUUUAAUCAUGAAUGUGCAUCACUUUUUUUAGAUUUUUUCUUUUUCAAUAAUUUUAUCUUCAUUCAUUAUAAUAUAAACACAAUCUCAAAAUUUUUUUUUGAACUUUCAACUAAAAAACUUUAGUUAUCUUUAAAGUAGACAUAAACAAAUAUAUGCACAUGCAAAAAUAACCCACUACUAUGGAUGACAAAGUCAGGCAGGUCAACUCAUUAAGAAAGAACGCAGCGGAUGUCCUAUUUCAACUUGGGCUGAUUCUCCCUACACCCAAUCAAAUUGGACCUGUACCCAAUUGCAUUUGUGAAAGUACCGAAAUACCCUUAAUGAAAAUGAAAUUAGGGUUUAGUGAUUUCUGCACCCAAUCACACACCCAAGUUCGUUUAUGCCAUCCUCAUACUCAACAUCAUCUCUCGCACGAGCGUCCGCAUCCUCGCACCUUGGUUGGCAUUUCUCUGGCAGUGUAGUGUUGAGUGGAAGGACCCCUUGAACAAAGACGAAGCUAGGAGCGCGAAGGUCGUCCAUUGUUGCGCGAAGGUUUUAGGGCAUCAUAUGCAUCAGCGCACCCUACAAGCUUUUUCAAAAUAAACAUGACAAUGGUACAAUUGGAUUUUAGAAUGUUUUUCGGGUGCCAAUCACAAUUGAUUGGGUGCAGGAAGAAAUUGCUUUCAACUUGUUGACUUGCUUAGGCUCACCUCGCAUAAUCCGCAGUCCGCACGGGCCAAGUACAAGACGGGACAGGCUAACUCACAACCAACAUAUUUUAAAAAAUUAGACAUUUUUUUGCACCCCAUAAUUUUUUUUUUUAGCCUCAUAAUCUCAAAAAAUUUAAACUAUUCAUUCUAAAUUUUAUAAUCAGUAAUACAAAUUUGUAUUAUAAAGUGUACAAUCUAGAAUGUUGUACAAUCUUAAACCAAAUUUUAACUCUUAGAUUCUAUAACCCUAGAAGUCUCUAAAUUUCACAUUCCGAAAUUAAAGAUAAAACAUUCAACAAAAAAUGUCAAAGGAUAAUUAUAAUAUUUUUUGAAGUAUGGGGUGUAGUAAGUAGGGGUGGCAAUGCGGGCUGGCUCGCCCCGCAUUUGAUUCCCAAUGAGUGCGAUUUCAUUUCAAUGACCACCCCGCAUAAGAGGUAACCGACGGGCCUGAGGGCCAAUCCGCAUAAGAAAAAUAUUUAUUUUCAAAAAUUAAAAUUUCAUCAAAUAUAAAAAAAUUUAUUCUUACUAUGGAAAAAUUACAAUUUUAUACAUGUUUCAAUUCGUUCAAUUAAGAUAAAGUUAUAAAUUCAAGUGUGAGGAUUGUUAGAAGGUUUGAUUAAAAUUAACUAAAGUUUUAUUUUUUGCAUAUAUUUUUCCUAUAUAUGUAUGUGAAUGUAUAAGAAUACCUUAUCAAAGUUUUGUUAUAAAAUAUUUUAAUGAAGAUGACUAAUUUUUUUAACUAUCCUAUUUAAAUCUCUUUUUUUAUAUUUUUUUUAUUAACAAAUUUAAAAUAUAAGAUUUACUUAAAAUCAAAUCCAAUGUCACUCUUCAUACUAACUCCAUGGCUCAACUAAAGACCUGGUCCUGGGUAACCUAUAAAAUUCAUUUUGCUUAUUUUUCCUUUUGUGACUGGUGUUUGGAUCCCUGUUUAAUUAAACAUAAGUGUUUUAUUUAGGUUGGUUAGACUCUAUUUGUUCUAGUAGGAAGUUAGUGAUAAACUUCCCAAAUGAGGGUUGUUAGUUUUUGUGUGAUUUUGUACAUGAGUUUGGAUCACUCAUAAAGUGGUUCUUAUUUAUUUAUUUUUAUUGUUGAUAAAAAAAAACUAACUCCUUUAAAUGAUUAAAAUAAAAUAUUUUUUUUAGUAGAUUAAAUUCAAUUUUUUAAAAUAAAAUAAAUAAAUGUUGCACUACAAGGGUGAAUGAGGUAUGAUUUUUUUUUACAAAAAAUAAAAUAAUAUUUUUUCAUUUAUACGGGUCAACCUGCCCCGCUCCGUUAUUGGUCCGCUCUGGGAGUUAUGCGGGGCAGGUCUAAGCAGGUCAGCAGGGUAGAUUAGUGAGCUCGCCCUGCGCCUUUUAGUAGCGGGUUGCGGGCUGACCCGCCCUACAUUGUCAUCCCUGGCAAUAAGAAAGACAUGGAGGUGCAGGAAGAAACUAUCCUCAAUCCCUAGUUCAUAACACCUUCAUGAAAUUUGAUAAUAGUCUUUUUUUCCUUUUUAAAAUGCAUAAAUUUUAUAGGUUUCAAUAUUCAUCAAAUGUUAAAUGCAUUAGUCAGAUUUUGGCCUUUUUAUAAUAAAAUUUAAAUAUAUAAUAAUAUUAUUAUAUAUAUAUAUAUAUAUUAUUUUUUAAAUUAAAAUAAUAAUCAUGUAUCUACAUGUAUUGUCUUUAAAAAUAUAUAUAUUUAAAGAAAUAUUUAUUAGUCAAUUUAUUAUAAUUUUUUUAUCCAUAUUUUAUUACAUAUGUCGUGAGAAUAAUAUUAUGAAACUAUUUACCUAAAUCAUCUAAAUAAGAAAAAAAUUAUUUUAAUAAACAAAACAAAAUUUUAUUCAAAAUUUAUAUUUAAUUUUUUUCAUUAAUUAAAAAAAAUCUUAUGUGGAUCGGCUUGUGGGUUAGCUAGCAUGCGAGGCGGGCCAAUAAAAGCAACCCGUAUAUUUUACGCGGUACGAACCAACGUAGCCUGCAUUUUGUGGGCCAAAUGCGAGGCAAACGGACCUGCAUUGCCAUCCAUACGCACUACCCUCAUGUUAUCCUAAGGUCGAACAACUCUGAUACCAUAAAUGUAACACCCCCAAUAUUUACUAUACACUUAUUACAAAGUUUAUUGUAAUAUAAUUUUAUUACAAUAAACGUAUUCAAGAACUACAUAAACCAUACAUGGAUUUAUAUAUCAAGGAUAUUUAAUCCAUUUCUGCUCAGGCUAAAAUAUUCCCGCUCAAGUUGACAAAAACUUCUUUCUUUUAUUUUAUUUUUCUUCUUGUCUCAUCAAUGAAUUGGAUUCUUUAGCAAAAAACUUUGCUUGAACAAAAAUAGUGCUAAAAACAAGUUUGAGUGCUUGGUUAUUUUCGCUUGAGCAAAAAUUGGCUUGCUUGAGAAAAAUAUCAAAAAAAUCAACUAUUACAAUAAUACAUAGUCAUUUUUAAAGUUGUACCUUAAAAGCAAUUCAAACUCAAACAUUAAAAAUAUGUUCAACAACACACAACAUCAAAUAGAACAUCAAGUGAUCACAUCACUCUUUAAUUUAGGUUAUUCUGCUAAGGCUCUACCAAAAAUAUAAUUAUUUUUUCUUAUGUGAAAUUCCUUAUUUCAAGAAAAAAAAUCUACCUCAAACAAAAGAACCACUCAAAAUUUAAAGCUCUAAAGCAAAAUAUCCAAACUUAAUUAAAUUUUAAUAUAAGGUUAAUCAAGUUGAUGAUCGCUUUUGACAACUAAUUUUACCAAGAUGGAUGACAAAAUUAGAAGAAAAUAAAAAAAAUAGAGAAUAUUUAGGAUAAAUAAGAACUUAUCCUGUUUUGAAAAUCUAAUUGGAUAAAAAUGAUUUCUAACUCUUUAGCUAUUGUAGGGUGUGAUGAAAAUUUGAAAUAAAUGAAGUGUAAAAAAAGAAAAGUAUAAAGAAAAGGAAAGAAGAAAGAAAAGAAAAAAAAAGAAUAUUAGGAUAUAAUUUCUUAUCUUCUCUUCCAUAUUUGAAGUGGAAUUAUCGUAUAUGAAAUGUUAAAAAAAUGACUACAUUUAUAUUUCUAUUAUGAAAUUGUUUUAUUUGAAAAUAUAUUUUCUUUUACUUACACUGAAUUAUAUUCUAAAUUAUAAUUGAAUUGUGUAUAUAUUUGUUAGUUGCAAUAAAUAAAAAAUAUUAUAAUAAAAGAGAUCAAACAUCUUAUUAAUUUUUAUGUAAUAGAAACUAUUCUCUUUGAAAAUAUGGAAAUAAGAAAGAAAGUGGAGGCAUGAAAGGGAUUUACUUACAAUUAUUCUCAACAACAAAAUAUUUUAUCAUUCAAAAAUUACAUUAUUUAGAAAAAAGAUUAGGAUAUAAUUUUUUUUAUAUUCUCUUUCAUUUAUGAGAUGAAGUGGAAUUAUCGUAUAUAAAAUCUUAAAAAGCUGACUAUAUUUAUAUUUUUAUCAAAUAAGAAUUAAAAAACAGACUUUCCUUAAAAAAUAUAUUUUUCUUUUACUGAAUUAUAUUCUAAAUUAUAAUUAAAUUGUGUAUAUAUUUUUGUAGUUGCAAUAAAUAAAAAAUAUUAUGAGUGUUGACUAAUAGAGAGAUAAAACAAAUUCUUAUUAAUUUUUAUAUUAAAUUGUCUUUUCUACACUCUAAGAAAAACAUACUUACUAAAGUAUGAAGUUAAAGUUGUUCUUAUUUCAUCUGUAUAAAUUUUUUGCCGACUAAAACUGUUUUGAACUUUCACUACAAUUUUGAAAUUUGGAUUUACAAUUAAUAAUAACAGAUGAAAAUUUAUUAAAAGAUCACCAUUAUUUAAAAAUAAAAAUUAUUUGUUUUAAAAUAUAAAAAAAUCGAUUGAACUUAUAAUAUAUAACUAUUUAUAUUAAAAGUUUUUUUUUUCUGUAAAUUAUUUUUAGAAAUUAUGCUAUUAAUUAUUGGUGAGAUCAUAGACUUUUUCCCUUAAAAAAAUCAAAAUAAAACAUUAAGUGUGGAUGACAAUAACUUUUGUACAGCUACAUUAUAUAAUAUUAAUAGCUUUCCUUGACAAUUUGAUUAUUACCCAUCGCAUAUAACUUUAGUUUUAUUAAUCAAACUAUUUAUUUAUGACUUAAUUUAAAUAAACAUUCUCAUGAAAAAAAAUUAAUAUUAAAGUUAUAGUAUCUAAAAUAAUGUUUAGAGAAUCACGGUCUAAAGAAAACUAUAUUUUCAAUUUUCUUUUACCAUGUCAAUCGAAUAAAUUAAUUAAUUAAGUCUUCUAUUAAACUAAUAAAAUUCUAUAUAGAAAAAUUAUAAAUUAUUUAUUUAAAAUUUACAUAUCUUCUCACAUUAAAAUAUGUGAACAAUUUAUUUUAUUAUAAUUGAUUCACAUAAGCUAAAUAAUAAUAAUAAAAGUUAAGAAAAAAUGUAACUAUAUUUAAAUUUCCAUACAUAAUAUACUAAUAAACUAUUUAUUAUAUUAUAUAUUUUCCCGUUAAGUGAGUUGGCGCCCAAAAUCCUCUCUCAAUAUAAAGACAGUAACAGUGAACUAAAGAAACACAACAGAACUAAAUUUCUAAUUUUCUCUCCCUUCGAUUACGAGUUCAAGCGACUCGAGAACAUUCGCCGCAACGUUGAGGUGAUGGCAGCGCUCAAACUCCAUUCUAAAGCCACCCACAACUCUCCAAAGGUACUCUUCUCUCUUCUGUAACUUACCAUUUUUUUGGAAAUCUCCAGAGUUUCUCCAGAGGUGAAACUGAAACCCCGAUUGAAAUAUUAUGUUUUGGUCAAUAUCCAAGAUCAGUUUUGUUGGUAUUGCUUUGGUGAUUUUGUUUUGUUGGUGUUGCUUUGGUUAUUGUCGUGAUUCUCUAUAAGGAUUUGUGGAAUUACAUGAUGUUUUCGUCAUGGGAUAGAAGAGUUAUUAAGAAUUAUUAGCAAGUGAUCAAUGUGCUUUUAUCGGAUUGUGAUUCAUUUACGCCGAAUGUGAUUCUUUGUGAUGAUGGCGAGUUUUAAAUCUUUUGAUCAAAUCUUUUUUGUCUAUGGAUGAAAUGAAAAACAUAAUAGUUCAGAAAGGCCAAUUGAUCCAAGUCUUCUUUUAAUCUCCUUUCUAUUAUUUAAUUUAUAUGGUAUUGAUCACCGAAAAUAAGGAUUGGAUUAUGAUUUGUUUAUUAGUGUUUAUCUGCAUCUGCAUCUUUAUCAUUUUUCUACACUUCUUUUUAGUAAGAGCUUAUUUCGUUUUCUUGAAUUUUUGGCUGUACAGCUAAUUCGUUUCUUGAAUUUUUGGGCUGUAUAGGGAAGGCACGCAAUGGAUGUGUGGUGUAGUGUAAGACAUGAUGUGAAGUAUUAUGUUUUGUUACCCUAAUUUCAGUCUGCUUGAUCUCCAAGGAUUGAAUGGUGUUCCAUGUUGAAUUUUUUCUACUUGAUUUCCAAGGAUUGAAUUGUGUUUGAUGUUUGAAUUAUUUUCACUUAAUGUCCUGCAGUAUCUCAUGGAGUAUGUUAUAUAAGGCCUAAGGGUUGAAUCAUCUUUUAAUUUCUUCUAUGUGUUGAACUGGAGUUGAUCACCGAACAUUAAGAUUUUAAUUGUGAUUUGUUUCUCUGCAGCAGGGUUUUGUUUAGUUUUGUGUGAUGACCUGUAUCUCAUCGUGCCUGUUAUGAGCAACUAAGGCUCCACCGGUUUUGAAUUCAUUAAUUUAUCUUAUCCUUUCUUAAAUUCUUCCCAUGAUGUGUCGAGCCUAUAAGUGGCUCCCUUGGUUUUGAAUUUGUGGCCUCCCUUGGUUUUGAAAUUUUGAAUUUACCUUAACCUUUCUAUACUAUGUCAUGUCAUCUCUUUAAAAGAGAAUAGUUUUCUCGAAUCUCCAUGAUUCUUGUUCAGCUUUUAUUGGAAGGCAAUAUAUAUGUGGGCAGGUUUCAGAAACAGUAAAUGGAGGUCGUGUGAAACUUUAGGUUUUUAUUAUCUUUGCGGUUAUUCUUUUGGCUAAACUUGUGGAGUGGGGUUCUUGUAGACAGGCACUAUAUGACUAUGAGAGGCUUUGACAUUUGUGUUUGUGUCUUCGACUUUGAUUAUCUUCUUCUACGUGUUGCAGUGUCUUUCUACAUGUUGCACUGACUUGCUAUGGAUGUCUGUUGGAUUGUGGAGACAAUUGCGGUAGAUUAUUGGACUUACUGUGAAGCUUUAGGUUUUAUUAUGUUUUCAUUCACUAUCUUAUGUGCUUGAUUUGAAAUGGCUGUAUUCUCUCUUAUUGGUUGAAUAGUAGGAAGCUACACGUGUCAGUCACUGUGUGUCUAAGCUAGGGCGAUUCUUAAUUAUGCUUAUCCUUUAUCUCAUGAUCCCAACUAUCUUCCAAAAUGAGAAUGUUCUCCAUAAUGACAGUAAUAUUUAGUUAUAUUUCCAAUAUGAGAAUGAAAAACUAUCUCUCAAAGCUAUGAGAGACCAAUUCCAAAAGGAAAGCUCCAACAUGAGAGCUCUAUUUACUUCUUUCGGGUUGGGGUCUCAGUAUUUGUGAUAGGAUAUGGAAGCAGACUGUAUCUUAUUUCUAACUAUAUUUCUCAAUCUUAGUCCCUUGCUGAUUUUGGUCUUUAUUAUUUAAUGUUUUUGGACUUGAUCACUUAACAUAUGGGCUGAAUUGUUGUUUAUCUACAAUAGUAUUUCAAAGUAUUUUUGUAAUCUUCUUCGUGCUCUUGGUUUUGAAUGGUGGCUUCCCUUGAUAUUUUAGAUUAGUGAAUUUAUCUUAUUGUUUCUUUACUUUGUCAUGUCAUCUUUUUAAGAAGAUUAGUUUUCUCAAAUCGCCAUGAGUCUUACUUGAGCUUUGUCACGAGUCUUAUUGAACUUUGCCACGAGAAUUCUUGAGCUUUGCAACGAGUAUUCUUGACCUUUUACAUGAAGGAUGCAACGGUCAGGUUUUGGAAAUAGUGGAUGGAGAUACAUUUAAACUUAGGUUUUAUUAUCUUUGCAUUUAUUAUGCUGAUAAAAAAACAUCUUUGCAUUCAUUAUUUUCUUUGUUGUUAUUCUUUUUGCUACUCUUGUGGAGUCGGAGUUCUUGUAAUUGGCCAUUUUACUUGUGUUGUAGUGAACUUUGAGCUUCGCCAUGAGUCUUCUUGACCUUUGCCAUGAGUCUUAUUGAGCUUUGCCACGUGUUUUCUUGAGCUUUGCCAUAAGACUUCUUGAGCUUUGCCAUGAGUCUUAUUGAGCUUUGCCACGUGUUUUCUUGUGCUUUGCCAUAAGACUUCUUGAGCUUUUCCAUGAGUCUUCUUGAGCUUUGCCAUGAGACUUCUUCAGCUUUGCCAUCAGUCUUCUUGUGCUUUGCCACGAGUUGUUCUUGUGCUUUGCCAUCAGGAGUCUUCUUGAGCUUUGCCAUGAGACUUAUUGAGCUUUGCCAUGAGUCUUCGUGAGCUGCCAUGAGUCUUCUUGAGCUUUGCCACGAGUCUUGUUGUGCUUUGCCAUGAGACUUCUUGAGCUUUGCCAUGAGUCUUGUUGUGCUUUGCCAUGAGACUUCUUGAUCUUUGCCAUGAGUCUUGUUCAGCUUUGCCACGAGUCUUCGUGAGCUUUGCCAUGAGUCUUCUUGAGCUUUGCCAUGAGUCUUCUUGUGCUUUGCCAUAAGUCUUCUUGAGCUUUGCCACGAAUCUUCUUGAGCUUUGAGCUUUGCCACGAAUCUUCUUGAGCUUUUACAUGAAGGAUGUAGGGUUCAGGUUUUGGAAACAGCGGAUGGAGUUACAGUUAAAGUUUAGGUUUUAUUAUCUUUGCAUUCAUUAUGCUGAUAAAAAAAAUCUUUGCAUUCAUUAUUUUCUUUGUUGUUAUUCUUUUUGCUACUCUUGUGGAGUGGGAGUUCUUGUAAUUGGGCCUUUGACUUUGAUGAUUUGAUUAUCUUCUAGUUGUGUUGUAGUGAACUUUGAGCUUUGCCAUGAGUCUUCUUGAGCUUUGCCAUGAGUCUUCUUGAGCUUUUCCAUGAGACUUGUUGAGCUUUGCCUUGAGACUUGAUGAGCUUUGC
rnacentral:lncRNA from 1 species